UCUAAAUCUUUUAGUUAGGUUAAUAAAUGUUUAUUAAAUUUUCAUAUCUAAACUUUUAAAAUUGAUUUGUACAUAUGCCCAAUCGUAAUAAUUCAAAUAACCAAUCACAAACACGUUACAAUGUAUUUGGCAAACUAACCGGUUGCUGUUAACUGAAACUUUUAUACGAAGUGUUUAAUAAAAGCAACUCUUAGUUUUUAAAUAUUUAAAUAUGUUACAACUUAUAAAAAGUUCAUGUUAUCAAAGCUUUUGUUUAAAUAAAAAGUCAAAAACUCAUUCUACUAAAUAAAGUUUUUUUUUUCUUAAUUUUCUCGUAAAAAAUAAAAGCUAUCUAAAAUUCAAUGCCAAAAUCGAAGAAAACAUUUUCCAUAUAGAAUAGUUAAGAAGGUAAUUAUGGCCUUAUGGGUAUGGGUAUCUCUAAUCUCUAAAUGAUAAAUAGAGUGCAAGUAUUAUAUCUCGACAACUUGCCGCACGCGUUUUUACUUUUUAUUUUAAAACGGACGAAAAUAAUAAUAUUAUAUGGAGGUGAAGGCUGAAAGCUUUGAAACCAUUGGCUCUUGCAUCCUGUUUUUAAUCAACCCAUAUUACUUGGGAGGCUGUUUCACUCAUUCACUCUACUGUCUACAUGCUUCGCAUCUCUAUAUAUUUAUACCUCUACUUUCUUCCAUUCUUCAUCAAUCACUUGUUCCACAAACAUACUUUUCAUUCAAACAAAACACCUACUUACUUCAUCUAAUUAUUAAACAUCUACAAGAUCAUUUAAUUAUGAGUUUCAGAAGCAGAGCAUGGAUGCUGGCCGGAACUGUCGGAGUUGUGGAAGCCCUCAAAGAUCAAGGCUUUGCACGAUGGAACACCACCAUCAGGACCAUCCACCACCACGCCAAGUCCAAUCUCCGAUCAAUUUCUCAGACCAAGAAGUUGUCUUCGCCGGCGGUCAUGGCUUCAGGCGGCGGCGUAGAAGAGAGGGCGAAGCAAUCAGAGGAAUCGUUGAGAAAAGUCAUGUAUUUGAGCUGUUGGGGUCCCAAUUGAUCAAACCCCUUGCAACUGUUAUUGAUUUUAGCGUUUUAGACACCAGAUGAAAUGUACAUGUAAUUAUGCAUUGUGUACAACGUUUAUAAUGAAUAUUGAAAAUUGUUUCUGAUCAAAGAUGGUUUAUGUAUGAAUUAUGAUAUGAUGUGAUUUGCAAUUUCAGUAGAAGAAAUCGAAUACUGUAUAUUUUGAUCAUCACUAAUCGUUGAUAAACCUAGCUACUGAUGGCAUGAUUGGCAUCUAAAAGAACAUCAAGUUUAUGAAAAUGCAACCAAUUCUUCUGAAAUAUAAAUUAUUAGUUAUAAAAAAACAUUUAUUUGAGGCCUAAGAACUAAUAAUCCUGAAAAAUCAAAACAUUAAAUAUUAGAUUUACUUUCUAUAUCAAUGUUGAAAAAUAAAAAUUAUUUUAACUUUUUAUAUCGCUUCACUUAAAACUAAUCUGAAAACGGGAUCUCUUACUCUGUAUAAAUAUAAAUAUUAACUUAUGGAUUUUUAAAUAUACAUGAUAUAAUCAAAAUGAAAUCACGUUUGUCUUUCUAUAUUCUUCGUUUAGAUUAGGGUGAGUAUUUAGGCCUGUGGACCGGACCAGACCGUUUUUUUGGACCCCUAGGCCGGUUCACGGUUCUAGGAUUUGAUCAAAAUCGUUCCGGUCCGGCCGGUUCCGGGCAAAAACCAGUUCUGUGAAACUCUUUAAACGAAUAGAUCUCAUUCGUUUUAAGUCGGAUUGACAUACGGUAUUUCCCAACAUGUAAUUUAAACAAAAAUUGUAUCAAACCCACAAACAUGUUUCAACAAGUUGUAUCAUAUGUAUGUAAAGUUGUACUGGUCCAAAUAGGUCCAAGAACCGAAAAACCCGGAAUUGGACCCGAACAUGGACUUGGACCCGGUAAGUUUCAUCCGGUCCGGUCCACGGUCAACAAUAUUCUCAGAAAGCGGUCCGGUACAAAUGCUCACUCUUAGUUUACACAUCUUCAUUAAAUUAUUUCAUUAGUAGUUAUACUAUACCAUGGAUUUUCAAUUUCUUCCAACAAUUUUAUCAUGUUUAAGUUUGGGAUUGCUUGUUUGAAACUAACUUAUAUUUAGGGUAAAUUACAUGAAUGAUCCUUAUGGUUUGGGAGUAAUUUGUAUGUUUGGUCUUUAAAAUCUUUUUUUUUAGUUUGGACAGUCCCUUCUAUAUGUUUUGUUGUGUCAUUAGUCCAUGUCAUACAUAAAAAGAUUACUUCAUAUUCAUGUAUAUUUCCUUUUUAAAUUAAAUUAUCAUUUAUUUAUUAUUUAAACAAUAAAAUACUAUAAAAUGUGACCCGUAUUCCCUACCUCCACCUCUCAUAUUCUCUUUAUGUUCGAUCACAGGGAAACCAUUUAUGGUCACCACUACCACUAACUUUCGGUCACUAUACAGGGAAACUACUUCUGGCCACCACCACCAAUAACCUCCGGUCAUUACCACCGUUACAUAUUAGAACCCUAAAAACAAAACAAAAACCAUAGAUCCAAACUAGACACAUAACAAAAACCAUAGAUCUGAUGAACAAAUUACAAAGCAAAAAACCAUAGAUCUACAGUGAUUUGAUACAUAUUUUCAUUAUUUUUUUAAAUCUGAGCAUAAGUAAGCAACAAAGACAUUAAUUCUGAACUAGAAAUCAGAAAUCGAAAUAAGAUGAAACCUAUAAAUCAGAAUUCAAAAUCAAAAUCAAAAUGUUUGAAACCCCAACACUUUCAUGCUGAAACACCGUCUGAAAUGAUUAAUGAAGCAGAUCACGUUUGAAGCCCGUCAUGGUGCUCUCAGGUCAUUGGUUCUCCAUCAACCCUUUCAUUGAAUGUUCCCAAUAGCAAUAGCAAUGAGCGAAGAUUUCAAAAAGCCUAUGAGAGAGGGAGACACACACAAGAGAGAGAGAGAGAGAGAGAGAGAGAGAGAGAGAAUGAGAGAAAGAGAUGGUGGUUGUUUCCAAUAUGCGUUUUGUUUUCUUAAACAAAAUCAUAGUCGUUUCAGAGAAAUAUCGUGGCUUUGAAGUGCAGAUUGGGAUUGAUGGUGGCUUUAGAGUGGUUUCCGAAGAAGUAGAGAGGUGGUGGAGGAUGUUGUCAGUCGACGAUGUCUCUAGAAUGCAUAUCGACACAAUGUGAACGCUCGAUGGUGGCCUUAGAGAGGCUUAGACAAAGUAUAAAGGUGGUGAGGCAUGGUCAGUGGCUUUGGAGAGGUUUCUGGACAGUGGUGGUAGCUUGGAAGUGGUUUCCGGCAGUGAUGGGUUUGUUGGUCCAUUUGGGUUUUUGAGUUUAAAGAAGUGGGACAAUGUAGCCGAUAAAAGAUGGGGACCCACAUGUAUUUUCUAUUUAAUUUUUUUUUAUUUUAAUCAAAUAAUCAUAAUAAAAAUAAUAAUAAUAUGGUAUAAAUGUCAUUUUAGGUCUAUUACUAUUAGGGACUAAGUACAAAACCAAAGCAAAUUAUAUGGAUAGUCCAAGUUAAAAAAAUAAAAUUAAGAAUCAACCACGCAGAUUACCUAAAAACCUUAAGGACUAUUUGUGUAAACAUGUGAACAACAGGGAACCAUUUUGUUCUUUGCUUCUCUACCCUAGCUCUCCAACAAACUGGUUUUUCUUUUUCAUAGAGUUAGGGAAAUCAUUAGAUUCUUCUUCCUUCUUUCGAUAACAUAUAACGGCCGAGAAAUCCCCUUUAGAAAGACAUGUGACAACUUGACCUCUAAGUAAGGACAGGAAUGCUUGUGCCUAAUCAAGCACCAUAAUCAUGAAAAGCACCUGAAUCGAGACCUAAAGCUGAACCGCUUGAAGGAACCUAUUUCUGUUGUUAAAGUGAGUACGAUUUUCAAGCUUUUUCCUUACUCUUACUAAAGCAGACACACACACAACUCUUUGUUUGACUUUUCACUGAAACCAUUACAUCUAAACAUAAGGUAGGUGCUUUCACAACUCACUAAAUGAGUUUAUAUGAUGUAAAAACCAAGUUAAAAAAAACAAAUACUUGCUUUAACUUAAUCGAUAUCAAAGUAGAUAAUUUAUCUUUUUAAUGUUGGGUAAUGAUGUUUAUAUGUAUAAUGAUAAAAUAACUUAAAGAAAACACGUUAUAUAAGUCACUAUAUAUAUAAAAAAAAAUCUUCUCAAAAUCUUUUAUAAAAUCAAUUAUUAUUUAUAAAAUCUUUCCAUUCAAACAAUUAAUACUCGACAAAAUUACAUAACUAGUCCUUGUGGUUGACACAGUUAACCAACUCUGGUCCUUAUGACAAAUUUUGUGCAUAGAUGGUCCAUGUGGUUUCAAAAUUUUGCAAAGACAGUUCUUUUGGCUAACGGUGUUAACUUUUUCAGUUAAGUUACUUGUGAAAUGACACAUUUGCCCUUCCUCCUAUAGAGACCAUUUAUGUAUUUUGUUCGAGCGACAUGGACCAUUUAUGUAACGUCAUCUAUUAUUUAUUAUUAUUUAUAUUUAAUUUACUUAUAUUACUAUGAUUUAGAUUUUUUUUACGUGAUGUUCGAAUAUAGUGUUUAAUAUAUAUUUUUAUAUUUUUUUCAGUUACAUUUUUUGAUAUUUUGUUCAUAUAAUUUCUUAAUAUUUUUUUCGAAUACAUUUAUUAAUUAAUAUUUCUUUUGACUUUUUGUUUGAAUAUAUAUAUUUUUUUUACUUUUUGUUUGAAUAUUUUUUUAAUGUUUUUUUUCUACAAUUUGUUUGUUUGUAUUUACUAAAGAUUUCAUAGUCACUAUAAUCAUAAUUCCUAACUUAAUUCACUAACAAUCAUAUAUUUUUUUGUUCUUUUAAUAGAUAAAGUUUUAUAAGUAUUAUUUUAUAAUUCAAAUAUAUAACGUAAGUAUUAUUUUAUAAUUCAAAUAUAAGGUUUUAUAAGUAUUAUUUUAUAACUAUACAACAUAUAUAAGUUUGUAUAAUUAUUAUUUUUGUAAAGCUUUUUAUAAAUAUUUUUAAUAAAAAAAUGUAAAAUUUUUUGUUAAACGUGAAUAUGAUUAAUAUAAAUUAGGUACACAUAGGCUAACCUAAAACUGUCUCGUAGUCUUGGCGAGAACGCUUAUGUCAUUUCACAUUGGAAUUAACUUUAGUAUGUUCGAGUUAUUUAAUUCUUUUAGACAUUUUUUUCGAUUAGCCUAUAUGUUCCGAUUAGCCUAUCUAUAUUAAUCAUAUUCACAUUUAACAAAGUUUUUUAUAUAUUUAAAAAAAAAUGUUUAUAAAAAGAUUUACAAAAAUAAUAAUUAUACAACCUUAUAUGUGUAAGUGAAUUAAGAUACGAAUUAUGACUAUAGUGACCAUGGAAUCUUUAACAAAUAAAAACAAACAAAAUGUAAAAAUAUCAUUAAAAGUAUAUUCGAACAAAACGUCAAAAAAAUAGAAGAAAUUUUUAAAGGAAAAAGUAAAAAAAAAUAUUAAUAAAUGUAUUCGAAUAAAACGUAAAAAAAAUAAAAAAAAAUACGAACAAAAUAACAAAAAAUACAAGCGAAAAAGUUAAAAAAAAAUCAAGAGUUUAUUCCAACAAAACGUCAAAAAAAAAUCUAAAUCAUAGAAAUAUAAAUAAAUUAAAUAAUAGAUAAUAAAUAGUAGACAAAGUUACAUAAAUGGUUCCAGUGGCUGGAGCAAAUUACAUAAAUGGUCCUUAUGGCAUGAAGGGCAAAUGGGUUAUUUCAAAAGGGACUUAACUGAAAAAGUUAAUACCGUUAGUCAAAAGGACUGUCUUUAUAAGAUUUUGAAACCGCAGAGACCAUCUACACUCAAAAUUUGUCAUAAAUACCAAAGUUGAUCAACUGUGUCAAUCACAAAGACCAUUUAUGUAAUUUUGUCUUAAUACUCAUUAUUACAGUUUUGUUAAAGCUAAAUAACUCAAUAAUCCAUUCAAAUAAAGAAUCCAAAACACCGUACUCUCUCUGAAACAUUUUACAUAUAAAAUAGUUAAAAAGCUAAUUAUAGGUAUUCUGUAUACUAGUCUACUUAGGGGCUGUUUGGCAGAAUCUGAACUUUUAAGCUCUGAAUUUUUAAGAAGUCUGAAUUUCUAAGAGGGUCUGAAUUUUUAAGAUCUGAAAUUUUAAUAUACUGUUUGGUUGGAACCUUUGAAUUGCUAUGCUGAAUUACAAAAAUGACCAUUUUACCCUUUGUAUUAUUUUUUGUUGAAUUCAAUGUUUAUGUUUACAAAAUACAAUUCUCUAAUAGGAAAAGGUGAAAGUAAUGAUGCUAUAAUAGAUAAAUCAAUAAAAAUACAUUGCUAUUUCUUAUAUUUAACACCAUACAAAGUCCAAAUUAAACACAAAUCCAAAAUACAACAUAAAUUCUUUCAAAUCCAUGAAAACAUACAAAUAUCUUGGUGUGAUCAACAAAUCUAUUAGAAAAAAAAGUGAUCAGGAAAAACAACAACAAAUGUUCAAGCUAAACAAAUACAUCCAUACUUCUUCUCCAUCAUUACAUGAAACAUGCCCUUUAAUAGCAUCUCAAUUUUUCUUUCCAACAUUUCAACCUGCAAUUGAUAAUUCAACAACAAAACAAAUAAGCUCAAUGGAAAUAUAUACAAUCAUUAAUGGAUUAGAAAAAAUGAAAAGGAUUAGAAAAAAUAUCCCUGAAAUUUGUACAAGUCCAGUUAAUUCACAUUCCAAAAGUGACACUAACAUCUUGACAAUUUAAGUACAUAAACGAAACACCGACAUUCAAAACCUAUGCACAAAAUAAUGCAUUCUAUCACCAUUUAAAACGGGACAUCUUUUCACUUCUAUAAAAGAAACAAAAAUCCCUGAAAUUUGUUUUCUCAUAUGCUUUGAUAAACACCAAAAAUCCCAAAAAACAACCCUCUAGACUCGAUCAAUCAACCAAAAACCCGGACAAAUCCGAAGGAAGAGCACAACUCCAGAAAAACAUCUCCAGAUUUAAAAAUUGAGUUUUAGGGCUUCUAAUUUCAGAAAAAAAACUAAAUAACAACCAUCUAUGAACAGAUAAUCGAAUUUUAGGGCAAGAAAGAAAAACCUUAUCUAGAACCGCUGGGAGGGAGAAGGGGCGAUGGUAUCAGAGUCGUUCUCGGGGUUGUCGACGUCAACGUCGGCGUCGCUGGGAGAAGGGGGUUGUGGCGUUGAUGAAGUAGAAGGAAAUGAAGCAGAUGUUCCUGAAAUGUUAUAAGGGGCAAAAAGGAAUACGCGUCUCAUUUUUUUUUAAUUCAGACAUGGUUUCACAUCUGAAAAAUUAAGAGGUUUUUGAUAAAUUAAGAGGGUAUUAUUCAGAUGCUACCAAACACACUAAAUCUGAAAAAUUAAGAGAUUACCUCUUAAUUGUCUAAUUAAGAGGCAAACUAACAGCUUGUUAGGCCAUAUAUAUCCACAACUUGGCGCACGUUUUUUUAUUUUAAAAGCAACGAAAAUAAUUAUAUCUAUAUUUAAAUAUAAAAAUAUAAAGUAAUAAAGUAACAGAUAUGGAAGUGAAAGCUUUGAAACCAUUGGCUUUUGCCUCCUCUUUUUAAUCACCCCAUGAAACCUGGGAGGCUGAGAAGCUGUUUCGCUCUCUCUAUUGUCUGUGUGCUUGUCAUCUCUAUUUAUAUCCUGCUUCUUGUAUUUCCAUUUUUCAUCAACCACUUGUGCAACAAACAUACUUUCCAUUCAAACAAAACACCUACUUCAUCUAAGUAUUAAAUAUCUACAAGAUCAUUUAAUUAUGAGUUUCAGAAGCAGAGCAUGGAUGGUGGCCGGAGCUGUCGGAGUGGUUGAAGCCCUCAAAGAUCAAGGCUUUGCACGAUGGAACACCACCAUCAGGACCAUCCACCACCACGCCAAGUCCAAUCUCCGAUCAAUCGCCCAGGCCAAAAUCUUGACUUCGCCGGCGGCUAUGGCUUCUAGCAGAGACGUGGAAGAGAAGGCGAAACAAUCAGAAGAAUCAUUGAGAAAAGUAAUGUACUUGAGCUGUUGGGGUCCAAAUUAAUCUAUGAAUGCGUGAAAGGUUAUACAUCGAGAUUCUGGAUCUAGAUUCGAAGUGUCUGGAGAUAUUUCAAACAAACCAGUAGAUGAAGGGUUUAGUCGGUGGAAUUGCAGCACCCAACACCAUGAGAUCGACGUACAAACUUGCGAUAAAUUUGAGUCCACAUCGCCAUUUGUUUGAUGAGUUCGAGUUUGUAUUUGUUAACAUCGAAACUCUAUAGAAAGGCGGAUAGGAAUAUAUUGUUGAGAGAUGCUUUUGAUGUAAACACUUACCCUCUUUUCCACAAGUACAAAUACACUACUAGUUUAUGAGUUAUCAUAUACCCAAUAUAUUGUUUCAUAUUUAUAAUAUAUAUAUGAUAUGAUAUGGGUACAUACUCAAUAGUCAAUACGCAUAUGAAAGAAGCAAACCUUCAUCAGCAAGACCAAUCAAUUAUCCAUACUGUAAUUAAGUAAUCACAGGAACCCUACACGAAAAAUAAUGCAUGAACAAAUUGCAAAAACAGAAAUAUUCGAAACAGAUUUGAAGAUUUGGACUAUUAUAUAUUUUAGUUAGAAGGAUGUGUAAUAACUAAUAAAUCCACCACUCAUAAACAUUGAAGAAAAAGGCUAAAACCACGUUAUCAGCUGCGUCGAUAUCGACCCACGUGUCUUGAAAGGGACAGAUGCAGAUUGGUGUGAUUCUGUAUCCUAUAAAAAAUUACAAACGUAUUCUACGUGCCCCAAUACAUGAAAUUGAAGAAACCUGUUGGCAGCUUAUUGGUUGCCAUCGAUCAUGACUCACCCCGAGUGAGAUCCAUCAUUCCAAGAAGGCCACAUGAAUGCAUCUAAGCUAUGCUACUCAUGUGCUGCUCCCUCAAAACCACCAUGCAUAUUUUAACCCCCAAACCACACUCCAUCUCUAUAAAUAAGUUAAUAUCCCCUCUCUCUUCUCUUCAUUUCAUCAGAAAAUCGCAACACUACAAAUCUACACCUCAUUAAUUACCAGAAUUCAUACUUUCUCGCUCACAAAAUGACUUCUGUAAACCGUGUAUGGAUGGCCGCCGGCGUAGCUGUUGCCAAUGGACAUACAGAUCAAGGAUACAAACUUAAAUCCCUCCUCAUCAACUCCCUCCGACAUGGCAAGAAGGCCUUCUCCUCCGAUUUCCGUCCAUUUUCCGGCCUUCUACGAUUAAACGUCGGUGUCGGAGACUGGAAGACAACACAGUCUGAUGAGUCUCUCCGGCAAGUCAUGUACUUCAACUGCUGGGGCCAAAGCUGAUGAUUGGUUUGUGUACUGUGAUUGGGAGGCUUUCUCGACGGAUGAGCAAUCGAUGAUGCGAGUUAACUCCUGGUUUUUGGAUUUGUUAUUUGGAUUGAGCCGUAAAAUGGAUCAUUUCCUAAGCGAGUUAAGUCCUGUUCUUGCAAACAUAAUUGGCUCUUGUAACCACGACAAUGUAAAAAUUUUUUGAAGUAAAUGUUACUUUUCUUAUGGAACUUCAUAUUGUUAUUGUUGCCUCUUGCUUGUUGAUUUUUAUGAUUGAACAAAUUAUCUCAAAUUCUAAAAAUUAACAUUGUAACUACAUAAAUAGCUAUUAAAAAAAGUCAAGUAUUCUUAUUUCAAGUUUCAACCUAUCCUUUUCUCUUACAUUUUUUUUAUUCAUCUACCUACUAAUCAUUAUAGAUCAAGAUAAAUAUCAAAAUAAAAUGAAAAUUUCACCGAGACAAUUAUUUCAGUUGAUCUAGCGUCAUUAUAGGAUCAGUUUUCUAAUCGAAAAAUCAAACUAGAAUCGGACGAUUAGACCAUCUACAAUGGGAGUUGUAAGAGGGUUUAAUAGAAUAAAUAUGAAUAUAAUAUAGAAGAGAGAGAAUAUGGAGUUGAAUGGCAAUGCAACGUCUAAUAAAAUUGUAAUGAAAAUUUAUGAAUUUUUUAAGAGCUGAAGUGAAUGUAUACAUUCUCUUUCCUACUUGGCAUUUCAUACAACUCUCAAUGGGUUUAAUACAUUAGAUAUGGCCUUAGAACUAAGGGUUAUUGUCACUGUAGCCCAACAAUGUUUAGUAUAUUAGUUUAAAUGGUCCCUCGUGAUUAUUUUUUGCCUUUAAAGGGUACUAACUUGUGUUUUACCGGUUAAUUUGGUACCUUUAGCCAUUUUCGAAGGUUACAGUGCCAUGUCAACUCCCAACUAGGCAGGUGAGUCAACAAUGACUCAGUGGUGAGUCGACUCAUCGUUGCCAGGUGUGUUUGUGUGGAUUACCAUGUGUGUUUGUGUGGUAUCUUAUAGCAACAAAAACCAUCAUUGAUUCACAACCUCCAAAAAUCACAGCACCACUACCCCUUAUUUGGGUACACAUAAAUCGAUGGGUUCUUGCCGAUCAUCUUCAACUCCACGAGAUAUAGGUUUUGACGAUGAUUACGACAGAGAUGAAGAUGAAACAGAUUAGAUGAUAAGAUGAUUGGAGAUGAUAAUCAGGUGAUACCGUGGUCAUCUUGGCCGCCUUCACCGACAUCCAGUUCCUCGGGAAGAAAAGAGUACUUUAGGAGUUUAGAAACCGAUUUCAAGAAAACAAUUUGAUUUUCAAAUUGAUUUCAAGCAAACAUAUUAGAAAAACGGUUUCAUAAACUGAUUUCAGGCAAACAUUUUGAUUUAGAGAAUUGAUUUUAUAUGCCGAUUUCAAACAUACAUGUUGAUUCCAGAAACCAAUUUCAAGAAACAUUUUGACUUAGAAAAUCAAUUUUAGAUACCGAUUUCAAGCAACCAUUUCAAUUUUAUAAACAAGUUUAGUUCUAAUAGACAAAAUUACUCAUCACAAUGGUUUGUGAACCUUUGAAGACGAAGAUGGCGAUGGUUAGUGAAGGAAUGGAGCGUCGAAAUCGAUUGGGGUUCAAUUUCAUCGAGGUAACAUCAGUUUCAUCUUCACUGGUCUUCAUCUUCAUUAGUUUCUCUCUCUAGAUCUAUUUAACAACUAUUAAACAAGGGAUGAACUUGGUUUUUAACCAAAAGAUCGAUAUGGGUUUCUGUUUGAACAAAAAACAAUGACGGGUUUUCCUAACCCUGGAAAAAGAAGGAAUGCAUCCCAUGCACACUAAGCCUUCAAUCUAUCUUCACCAUAACAGACUCUAUGCUUGGUGUUCGAUUCUACCGGAGCCAACAUCAGGGCCACCGUUGGAGCCGGAGAAGACAGCGACGGAGCCGGAGAAGACAACAUCAGAGCAGGUGAAGAUGGAAGAUGGUAAGGUAUUUGAUAAGAUUCGGGUUCUAAAGAAAGCAUUACAUUCGGUGUUACACGUGGCAAUUGAGUUGGCAUUUAAACCUACUGAUUAGGAUGAGUGUCACCGGGUGACCCCUUCAAAUUUUCCACAAUGACCUUUCAAAACCUAAAAAUACAAGUUUGUGCCCUUCACAUGCAAAAAAUUGUCACGAGGGACCGUUUAAACCAAUAUAAUAAAGUUUGUUGGGCAAAAAUGACAAUAACACUAGAACUAAUUAGUAAUAUUAUGUCCGAUUAUCAGUUCCCCGUUCAAUCCUUUAUUGGUUUUCGAUUAUCUUGGUUCCAAUCAAGUUCGGACCAAUUUACAUCAAUACGCCAUUGUUCUUAAGCCUAGAAUAUGUUUUGGGGUACCCAACCUCCUUCUAAGACGUUUAGUUUUGUUGGAUAGUUUACAUCAAUACGCCAUUGUUCUUAAGCCUAGAAUAUGUUUUGGGGUACCCAACCUCCUUCUAAGACGUUUAGUUUUGUUGGAUAGGGAAUGCUUAUUCACCUCUACUAUACGGCUUCGAAAAAUGGCCGAUGAUUAAGAGACAAAAUUAAUAAAUUAUAUAUCUUAUUGUUUUAUAUAAAUACGAAGAUAUAUAAAAACAAACAAUAGAUAAAUAGUUAAUUCUCAAAAAAGAACUCACUACUAAAAAAAGGGCAUUAUCGACGGUCAAAACUGUCGGUAAUCCGUCGCUAAUAGGUUUUACUGAUGGAAUUGCAACAGACCCAAAUGUGUCGAUAUAUUCUUCUCAGUAAUUGUUUGUAAUGGAUUUCUGACAACUACGAAAAUUUAGCGACAAAUUUUUCCGUCAAUAAAUAGUAACCGACCAUUGACGAAAAUAUUUCUGCAACGGAUUACUGAAGUAAUGUGUUUGCAACAUAUUACCGACGAAAUAACUCAUUAACGGAUUACCGGUGGUAUAUCAAAAUACUCACUAACUGAUUACCGGCAAAUUUCAUCUGAUGGAUUACCAACAGAUUUUUGUAUUAUAAAAAGAAUUUAUAUAAAUACAUGAAAUCCAUAUUUUAAAACCAACAAAUAUAAAAGUAAAAAUGUUUUGUUAUAAUAUAAACAGACUGUUAAUGCGGAAAAACAUAAAAGAACAACCAUGCGAACACCACGAUAUAAAAUGGAAGACCUGAAUUAGUAAAAAUCACUAUGAAAACGACACUCUUAUUAAGAGAUCACAUUGCUGAUAAAUCUCCAAGGAAUAAACGAAAGAAAGAAAAUAUUCGAAUAAAUAAGUCAGACAUCUAGAAGACUUUAUAUAAUAGUCUUAUAAAAAGUCAUAAACAAACUCUCCCAUCUAAAUAGGAAACAUUUCUAAAUGAAUAUGAGGUGUUAUAAUCUAAUAAUAAGUCCUGUAUAUAGUAUAAGACAAUUAAUAAAGGGUUUGGAACAUAUUCAACAAACUCCCUGUUAAGAUACCGAGCAGUGUGAUACCAUCUCUAUCACACCCUACCCGACCUUUGACGGAAACACCGAGUAGUAUGACGGUAUAAAGAACGUCAAUCCUAUUAACCUGAGAAUACAUACAUUUUGAAAGUCAACAUAAUGUUGGUGAAUGCACAAAUUUUUAUUUUGAAUUUCUUUUAAGAUUUUUUUUUUGUGUGUGUAAACCUUUCUUAUUUAUUUACCUAACAUUCUACAUUUUUAGGGUAUCUUUUAUAAACCAUAAAUUACUAUCUUUUCAGGAUAUCUAAUGAUCCUAACUUAUUUUAAUUACCAUAGUAGGCGUCAUUAUGGUAAUCUAAGCUCUAAGGCAUUUUUUUAAUGUAUUAAUGUGAUCCCCUAUAAUCAACGCUACGACCGUAAAUAUACCCCUAAUCAUGACACUUCAUCGGACGUCAAAUAGUAACUUAUAUGGAAGGUAUCCUUCCGGGAUUAUAGGUAGCAAUCGCAGGUGGGGUUGUCAUGGCCCCGUAUAGAUCUAUAAUUAACCUCCUAGCUCUCGUAAGAUUAAAAAUUAUAGGUAUUGGGGAUAUGUUGAAUUUAAUCAAGUCUUUUGGAUGAAUAACAAACUCACUAACGCACUAACUCUAGGCUUUUAUCUUUUAAUAUUUUAUUUUUAUCAUAANNNNNNNNNNNNNNNNNNNNNNNNNNNNNNNNNNNNNNNNNNNNNNNNNNNNNNNNNNNNNNNNNNNNNNNNNNNNNNNNNNNNNNNNNNNNNNNNNNNNNNNNNNNNNNNNNNNNNNNNNNNNNNNNNNNNNNNNNNNNNNNNNNNNNNNAGAGAGAGAGAGAGAGAGAGCUAGGUUCAAAUGUUUCUAGCAACUAUUGUGUGCAUGAAUGCACCAAUAGGAAAUUAGGAAAAAAUAAAUCAUUAAAUAAAUCAUUUAAGGGUAUUAUAGUAAUCUUUGCAUAGUUAAUUAAGGUAGAUCAACAACAAUUCCUUAUAUCACACAAGAAGCAAAGAUAAAUAUUAGCCCUAAAUCGAUUUCACCGCUUCCCAUCAGCCCUGUAUAUCGAUUAAAAACAACAUCGAAGAGGACACCUUCAAAGGACGGUAAUACCAUUUUUUUCUUCUUCUCUCCUCCAUAAUUGUCUCUUCCAGAUCGAAUCUCCCCCCUGCAAUCUAGGGUUCCGCUUCUGCUUCUUCUUCUACGUGUGUGGUCUCAAUGAUUUUUAUCUGUUCAAUCUUCAAAAACAACAAUAACAACAAGAUUAGUAGUCAUACCAACCACCAACAAAGAAUCAAGAUUCGUGUUUUGAAUCUGGGCUUCAUAAACCGGUAUCGAUGCAUUCUCCCUGGGUCCUCCCUCUAUACGAAUCAGUUCCCGUCGUGGCUGCCAACAACAUAUCUUUCAUUCUUCUUCUAGAUCACCUCUUUAUAAGGUAUCUUUAUGCUUACUUCGUGUAGAUCGUUGCUUAAGCAAUAUGUAUGUUUCGAUUCCUGUGUUCUAUCAGGAAUGUAUAGAAGUGUUGGUCAACUUGGUGUUGGAAAAUCUAUUCUUAUAAUCGUUCAGUUAUGUUUUGCUGGGAUUAUUGUGAUCUGUUUGGAUGAACUUCUUCAAAAGGGAUACGGUCUAGGGUCUGGGAUUUCAUUGUUCAUAGCUACCAAUAUCUGUGAAAGCAUUAUCUGGAAAGCAUUCAGCCCUACAACAAUUAACAGUGCACAUGGUGCUGAAUUUGAAGGAGCAGUGAUUGCAUUGUUUCAUCUUCUAAUCACUAGAUCUGAUAAAGUUCGAGCAUUAGGUGAAGCUUUUUAUAGGCAAAAUCUGCCUAAUGUGACUAAUUUGCUUGCUACUGUGUUGAUUUUCUUGAUUGUUAUAUACUUUCAAGGGUUCCGUGUUGUUUUGCCUGUGAGAUCUUAAAAUGCUCGUGGGCAACAAGGGUCUUACCCCAUUAAGUUGUUUUACACUUCCAACAUGCCUAUUAUUCUCGAGUCUGCACUUGUUUCCAACCUUUAUUUCAUCUCUCAGGUAUUAAACUUUUAUCAACUCUUUAUUUCUUUACUUGUUGAAUUGAAUAGUUACUUAUAUUGUUGUUUUUGUUCCUUUUCAGUUGUUGCACAGAAAGUACAGUGGGAAUUUCUUGGUUAAUAUGUUGGGAAAACGGAAGGAGUCUGAAUACUCUGGUCAAUCCGUUCCAGUUGGUGGUCUUGCUUAUUAUGUUACUGCACCUUCAAGGAAAUGACUAACUCCAUUCCAUUCACAUUCCUUGAUUUGUGAUGAUUUAUUGUUUGUUUGCAUGUGAAUAUCAUCAUCAGCUUGGCUGCUAUGGCAGCAAAUCCCUUUCAUGCUCUCUUCUUCUUCUUCUUCUUCUUCUUCUUUUUAAUAUUUUAGUUAAUUGAGUAAUACUUAAAGGUUUGCAAACUUUAGCUUUAAAUGGUUUCAAACUUUAUAAUUUUUGAUUUUCACCUACAGUAAUAUAACUUGUUUGCUUUACCAAAUGAAUGUUAACCUGUAAAUUCUAUCAAAAUGAGGGCAAUAUUCUUUUAGAAUAAAGAGGGAUUUAGUUUGAAGAAGGCUACUAUUCUUUCAGAAUGAAGAAGGGAAAUAUUCUACACAUCUAAUUCUGCAAAUUGAUCAGACCUAGACAACCAAAAAAGGAAGGGAAGCUUUAAUUUUAUUCUUUUACAAUGAUUGUUCUCUAAGAAUGACCUCGAAUUUUAUUCUUUAUUUUUUUUUCAUAUCAGAAUGCAAACACAUGUUCAUUCUAUGAGAAUAUAAAUAUUACAUAAAAUAAGUGUUGCUAGUAAUUAUGACAGAAUACAUUUAUACAUGCUUUAGAAUGUUUAUGCAUAUAGAACAAAAGACUAUGAUUUAAGUGCAUUCUGUAAUGUAUUAUGUUAGAAUUUAUUUAUAUAAAUGCAUUCUGUUAUAAUCUCUUUGAGAAUGUUUGUUAACAACAAGUAUAUUUGUUUAACUAGUAAUACUAACGAGUAAUGUAUCUUAUUCUUUCAGAAUUGCAUGGAGAAGGAAUUCAAUAUUGAUCAUACAAGAGAAAUAUUUGGAAUCGAGUUCAACAACAAGUAUAUAUGUGAAGAUCAAGUUGAUUAUAUGGACCAUUGAAGAGGAUCAAAUGUAUUUGUUCAAUAAUUGUAUAUUCAAGAAUGCUAUUUUUUUAAGAAUUUUAUUCAUUUUUGAUAAUAUUCUGUUAGAAUAUGUAUAAUUUCGGAUGUAUAUUAAGAAUAAAAUCAUAGACCCAAGUUGAAUGUAUAUGAAUAAUAUCUUAUUCUUAAAUCAGGUCAAUUACCAAAUAUAACUGCAUUGGAAAUGUAUUCUACAAGAAUAAAACCGAAAAUAUAUUUACUAGUUUAUGGUUGAUAUUUUGUCAUUCUGACAGAAUAACAUCGGAUUUUUAAAUUUGAAUUAAUUUAAAAUAUUCAGAUUCUUAAAAAUAAAGGAAUUAAUUAUCCCUUAAAUUAUGGAAAUUUCCUUUUCCUUUUUUAAUAUAGGUAAAUUGACCAAAAUACCCUUAUGUUGAAAAUUGUGUGAUUAUAUGGUGCAUGUUACCCUAUUGUAAUAUUAUAGACUCUCAGAUCAUGACCUUUGAUUCUGUUCCAUCCGGUGGUCCACAUCUGUGCAUUCUGGCACACAAUAGUUAGUAGAAACAAAAUAACCUAAGUCUAUAUAUAUAUAUAUCCUAAUUAUGGUUAUUUUAACGGGAUAUUUGGGCAGCGUAACAACAAAAUACAGUGCGUAUCAUAAAUCUUAUCUAGCAUAACUCCUAGGUACUUAAGGUUUUUUAGAGAUUUCACCAUUAUAACAUCUAGGUAAUAACUACUCCUAGAUUGUCGGACAUCAUAUCCUUUAGACAGAUAUCAUAACUUAAAUCUAGGCAUAUUAUGUAUAGUUCUACCAUCCUAAGGCAUCUAGCUUAUUAUAAAAUGACUUAAUAUUUAUAAAAAAUAAAUAUUUUUCUAAAAUCAUUUGUUAAGCAUGUAUUGCCCCCUGAAAGCAUUUUAAAACAGUAAAAUAAGGGUCAUGAACUCACUAUAAUAGCUUAUCGAGAAGCUCCCGAACCGUUGCAACCAAAGUUUCUUGCCAUAAAGAGGGUAUUGAAUUAUAUAUAGAGAGAGUUUGGAGGUUGGUUUGUGUGACAUCCCCAUUUUUACAGCCAGAAAAGACCGAUAAAUACGUUAUCAUAGCACUUCCGAAGAAAAGUAUUUUUAUUCAUUUCAAAAUAUUUGGGAUGUCAUCGUCAAUACAGAAACAUAAGUAUAAACAGAACUUACAUUCAUUAUCACUAGUGAUUUAUAUCUCCUUAAUCUCUCGGUGUAAUUGAUGGGUUUUAGGUAAAACAAAUAAAUUAAAAAAACAAUUCCUAAGUUCACAUGCAACCUUAUUUGGAUCUAUGUUUUAACUAUUGAACAUAUAACUUUGAAUUGCAAACAAGAACCCUAGAGGAGAGAGGCUAAUUUCGAAAUUAACAAACUAGGGUUUAGGAAUUACAUACCUUUCAAUUGUUAUAGCAAACAAUUGAUAAUCCUCUUGAAAUUGAUCUUGAUCUUCUUGGAAGCUUAGCACCACAAAUGUAAUGCCUCUAAUGGAAUCACACCCAAAAACUAGCAAGAAGGAAACUAGAAGGAGAGAGAGGGAGGGAAUAUGCAAUUCUCGGCCUAGGGAUUCUUCAAAAGAAGGAGUGCCCAAAAUGUGAGCCAGGAGGCUCCUUAUAUAGCUGAGGGAUCUAGGGUUUUAGGGAAAAACCCUAAUGCUCCUUGCUUAGGGCCUAAGCAAAUCCAAGGGCCUUAUCCAAGCCCCCAUGGAAGAAAUCAUUAGGGUUGCCCCUAUAGAUUUCGUCCACCCUCUUCCAAGGGGGUUCUAGAGCCUUCCACUCAACUAUUAGAUAAUUGAAAACUAGUCCCUGCACUUUAUAAUUAAUACUUUUAACCCCAAAAUUAAUUCUGAUUAGUUUCUGGCUAACUAUUAAUUAAACAUAAUGAUUCCUAAUUAAUAUAUUAAUCUUUUAACACAUUACUAAAUCAUUUAUAUUAAUUUAUUAAUCUUAUAAAUUAAUAUCUCUUCUUUCAUAAUUUCCUUGUCCGGUUGCUAGCUUUGAGGGCAACCCAAAAGGACUGUGUUGCUAUCAAUUCAAGUACAUACCAAUUAUAGUUAUGGGCUUAGACACCUAAUCCAACAGUCUCCCACUUGGAUAAGUCUGUAACUAUAAUUGCUAGUAUUACUUCUAAAUUUGACCAACAAAUUGUAGCUUCCAAAACCUGCUGCCGAACUCUGACCCAGUCAGUUACGUGUCCUAAGAUAAGUGAUCAUAUGACCCUUCGUUCUAUUAGAUAUCCCUAGACAUAAGACAUGGAAUACAAUCAAUCUCUUUGUGCAGAAUCUAUGUUUCCCGAUUUCUGAUUUGUGAUGAUAUAGGACUUCUAAUUGAACACAUCAAUUUAGUCCUGGCUGGGCCCAGCACAUAAGUUAACACCAAAUCAUCGAGGGGCCCACAGAUAUCGCUUUUCCCAUUAGGGCAAAAGGAACGAAUAAACAUUGACUCAUAUGCUUGUAUCUUUUACUCAUCAAACCAUACAUGAUAAUACGUUUUAUAACACCAAGUUACUGAUGCGUUUUCGUAUCACCAAUGUAUAGCUGACUUGCAAAUUACAACUCAUAUAUCUCUGUUUCAAGAUCAUAGAUAUUAUCGUCUCAGCAUUACUCGUGAUGAAUUCCAUGAAGUAAUACUCUGAGCGUGGGUUUAUCCAAUACUCAAAUCUCAAUUUCUGAGUACUCAUGAACGUUGCAGCAAAUCUAUUGCCAUGUCUAUCCUUAGACAAUCUACAAUCCUAUUCAUGACAGUCUUGAUUCACUACUUACUUCCAAAAGUACGAGCGACUGUGGAGUUUCAACAAUCAUAUUAUUCGGGAAGUAAAACAUACAAAAUAUGAAACACAAUAAUAAUCGAAUCCAAUAUGGCCCCAAACUUUUGAGUGUAAAUAAUACUCCUUUUAUUUAGUUACCAUAUUAAUCACACAUUAUUCAUUGUAUAAUGUUUCGAGUAAUCAACCUAUCACUUGAAUUAUAACAAUAAUUGUCCCAUGUUCCAGGCAUGCACACUUUGUUUCUCAUGGUCCUUACUUUGUGAAAUAUAUCAAUUGAAAAACUUUUCCAAUGAUGCUCAUUUCACAAUUUCCAAUCCUUUUUAUUAGUGUUAGAACACAAGGUUAUUGCUACUACUAGAAUAUGCUAGAUUAUAACAUUUUAUGCAACGAUCCUUUCGCAAAGUCAUAGCACAAAAGUCACCAAGACUUGGCCAAUGAAAUUACAAAGUACUCUAUCGGAAAUUGUUACAAGAUAAUUCCAUAGACGUGAAGUCUCACAUUCAAAGUACAUUCCUUUGAACAUCCUUCUUGCAUAAAAGUUUCUAAUCUAGACACAGACUCUCAACAUCCAACUCCCAAUAUGGAGACAUUUCCAUAUUUGCCAUAUGACAGCUUAUUCUUAAUAGAAUCUUAUCUAUUCAUAAUAAUGUCAAUAUAGCCCAUUCAGUACUAUACUUCUAACUACUCACAAACGACAAAUCCUCAGUGAACCUCAGAUUUUCCUUUGAUAGUUGUUUAAUUAUUUUAGUCAAAACCGAUUCUAGUUCCUUUUUCCCUCUUAAUGCCCUAGGCAUUUGGAAAAUUUUAGAAUGGUAAAAUAUUACAGCAUAUGCAAUCGAUCCUAUACCCGAAGCGUAUUGGACAUGAUGCAUAAUGUCUCACAUAAAGAAGUGAUACUUUAUCAUCCUUCUGCCAUAAUAUUUUAUGUGUCCUGUUCCCACAAUUCGAUCUAUGAAGAGGGAUGCCGUGAUCAUAAUCGAAUUUGAGAAUGCACUAUAUAUCCUUGACUAAAUUUAUUAACAUUUCUCGAUCUAAGCUUUAGAAUUUUGAAAUGAAGUAUAAUAUUCUCUCCCUUAAUUAUAGCAAAACAACUUUUCAAACAUUACAACUUUGCAAAGUGAAUCUUUGUUUUCUAUAAUUAAUAUUGCUAACUCGCAAUACUUUACCAUAAUAAUCAUGCUCCCACUAACAUGAUGAUUAUUUUCUUACCAGCAUAACACUUAUGCUCCCACUAGCUUUGACAUGUAUUCAGAAAACAAUUAAACUUCCAGAGAACAAUGCUUAUUGAAUUCCUUAAGUUCAUAUUUCUAAUACCUAAUGCUUUGAUAAGCCUUUAUCAAAGCUUCUUAAAAUCAUACACCUUUGCCUUAGAAAGCUCAUAUGUGUGUCUAGACAAAUUCAGAACUUAUGUCACUAAGUCCCAAAUGUUCAGACUAAUUGUCAAAUCUCAUAAUUCGAACUAUGGAAAGGGAUGCCGUAACCAUAAUCGAAUUUGAGAAUACAAUUUCCACAAUUGCUAUCUUCUUAAAAUCUCUCUUAGUGAAAGCAUUUCCUCACAGUCAUUUUCAUGAAGGAGGUAAUCUUAUGACACUUAGAUUUUGUGGUGUAUAAGUUCCUAUCCAUGUGAAUUUGUCAAAACCAAAGUUUGUGACAAAUCCAAACUCAUAUGGACUGAACUUUCUCAAUCUCGAUUUCUUGCCUCAUGGUAACACGAGUGCCCACCAUGUCUUCCAAGUGGUUUAGCAACUCAUCCUUACUUAUCAAUGUACUUUCCAUUGAUCAAGGUGCUAUGUCUUUAUGCAUUCACAUGAGAACUCAUAGAACUCACAUACAUAAUUAACUCAAUUGGAAUGGCAUAGAAACAAAAUAAUGUCAACACGAUAUGUUGUAAAGCUCAAUCCGUGUGCUAGUGAUGAUUGAUAAGGUUUAUUCUUGAUUUUUUCUUGAAACCUUUUUCAAGAUCGUUAAAACCCCCACUGACCUCUUGACAUAUAUGAUUCUCUUGUCAGGAAACUUUCCUAAACAAAACAAAUAUUCAAGAGUUAGUGUAGUUUUAUCAAGACAAAACACUUCACAAAAUUUGUCCUAGUUGGUCUUUGUCUUAUCCAAGACAUCACAACUUACCAAUUUCAAAUGUGCAAGAAUAAUAAAACUAUUCAAAAUUCCACAUUUGAUAAGUGUUAUAAACCUUCUCGAGACUUGUCACUCAAUUGACAAUCUUGGAGUAUAACUCUAAGACUUGAUGUUGGAACGAAUUAUGAUUGACUUCUUGAUUUUAACCAUUUCCACAAUUCUCAAUUCCUCUUAUUAGACAUGCAAAUGCACUAAGACUCACUUGGAGGAUCGAUUGAGUUGUGGUUUUUUAAUCAUUAAGACUUAUCAUAAAAUACAAUAAAAGGUACUCUCCCUUCUUCUUAGAAUAGAGAAACUUUUAUCUUUCUGCCUUCUUGAUUCUUCUUAUUCGUUCUGCUAUUGAUUUAAACUCUUUCAAUCAACUCAGAAUUAUAUUUAAUCUUAUAAGCAUAACCAUAUUCACUAAACUUUAGUAAAUCAUGACGAACAUCUUUAUCACUCUCGUGGUGGACUUGAUCAAUGUACAACCUAGUGUACUCGAUCUCCUAGUCCUUCUCUUGACACUUUGUCAAAGAAUUAGUCUAAUUUCCAAAUAUGAAGUUUCUCAUUCAUCAUGCAACCAAGUUACAUGACUCCAAGUUUCUGUCCAACUGAAACUUGGGCGAUGAGAAUCUUUCUUUAUUUGGCAAAUUCACGAGAUUUCCACAAAUGACAUAGUUAAGAAUCAAAUCCAUUAUUGAUACACAAACAUCAAUUUUUUAUAACGAUUUUAUUGCAAGGAUAUAAAAUUAUUCAAACCAAAAUUUUUGUUUUAUUCAUAAAAGCAGCAGAAAACAUGUCCUUACAAUGCAAAAUCAAUUGAAAAACUAUGUUAUUAGCAAUCUAUUCUAACUCCAAGUAGUAGCUCAAGAACCUAAUCUUCAAGCAACGCGAUCGAAAUCCAUAUCUUCAAGAUUAGAUUCAGCUUACUUCUUCCCUUAAGCUUCCUCUCUUUUCUUCGAUCCUACAAAACAUCAAAAUGUAAUCUUAUCACAUCAUGAAUUAAGAAUCUGGAAUAGGAACUUAAAAGAGUUAGACAGUGGAUUUCAUACCUGAAGAGUAGUCAUAACACUAGAAUCUCCCAUCUCUUAGAUCUCUCAGGUAGAUAGGACAGCUUCGUCUCCAAUGCCCCUUCUCUUGGCAAUAAAAGCAAAUGGACUCUUUUGGAAUGACACAAGGAACUAUCUCAGAGUUUACCUUUUCUGGAUCUCCAAUGUCAUCAUUUUCAAUGUCGAUUGAAGUUUGGGAGUUUGAUUCACCAGACAAAUCUGCUUGACCAGCACGCCAAAUCAUUGCUGAUUCAGCAGCUAUAAGCAAAUAGGUGAGAUCAAUGAGGGUCACGUCGUGAUCCAUCAUAUAUUACUUUCUAACGAACUCACUAUAUGAUUCAAGAAGUGACUGAAGAACCCAGUCAAUAGCCAACUCACUUGAAAUCUCGACACCAAACAUGCUUAACCUAUCAAUGUGUGACUUCAUCUCUAAGAUGUGUGCACACACAGGUUUCCCAUCUUCGUGUUUACUUGCCAAAAGGGCUUGCGUGAUAUUGAACUUUUCAAUCCUUCGGUUGGGUUUGGGAGAACAACGGGAGGGGGUGGAGGAAGUGAAAUCAAGCUAGUCCACAUGACAAGGAUUGAUCUUUCACCUUCAUUGUGGAACAAACUUUCACUUUGAGCAGGAAUAUCUUUUCCUUUGGAUUCUGGAAUACCAUGGUUAGAUUCAGACAUCUACACAAAGGGAGAAAUCAAGUUAGUUGAUUGAAUCCUUAAUAAAACACCCAAAAGAGAUAUUAAGGCUAGGAUCCAACACAACAUUCCACAAAUUGGAAGAGAGAUGUCGUAAUCCAAUUUGCAGCAUAUUUGAAGGUAGGUAAAUGAAGAUUUACCAAUUUCCACCAUGAAAAACGAAAAAGAAGGUUAAGUUUUAAAUGUAUUGGAACCUCCUAGAUCUUUUUAGAUACAUUGAAACUAUUCAAUGGCAUGUUUUAAUCUCGGAUUAUGCUCUUCUAUUUGUGACUGGGAUGCCGAGGAUCACAAACAAGAUGUGAAUAACCAUGCAAAUGUGCUUGGUAACCUCAUUGUCUUUAUCAUUAACUAUUGAUGUGCCAAUAAACCACACACGCUCCAUCAAAAUGACAAUUAUGAGAUACCCAUUACUACUCUUUAUUAGUGCCUUUUAGUGUGCCGGUUAACCACACACGCUCCACUAACGACCAAUAAAGCAUAAUGUGCAAUUUCAUGGAUUAGCAUACUUUUCACAUUUUUUUCUAAAGUAACUAGAGUUGGGAUUUUCUAAAAUAAUAUUCUAGUACUUUCUUUAAUGACAUUACACUUUUAAUGAGAUGUAGUUGUCCUAUCAAUCCGUUCUGCUAAUGACCUUCCACUAAUGAAGAAAGCGGUGGGUGAGAGUGGACACCCAUUCAACUACCACUUUAUAGGCAGUUUCCUUAUACCCCCCUUAUAGAUUAGCUUCGUGAAUGAGGCAUACUAGCGAUUUGACCGACCAUAGUCUUAUACAUAUAUAAUAUUUAACUUUUAAUUAUAAUAUACAUAUAAGGUGUGUUUUAAAACAUUUUAAAACUCCAAGGGUUUAUAUAAAUUUUUCGAAAUUUAAACUAUUAAAUUUUAAAUUUAAGUAAACCAAUUAAUUAGAUUUAAUAUUUAUCUAUUAAUUAACUUUUAAUUAAUUUAUUAAAUCUUUUAAGGAUUAUCUAAUUAAAUUAAACAAUUAACUUAAUCCUAAUCCAUAUCCCUUCUAGAUUUCAAAAAUAUGGGGAUAGGAUAAUUUCCUUAAUUUUCUCAACCAAAUAACUAGAUUUAAUAUUUGUCUAUUAAUUAACUUUUAAUUAAUUAAUUAAAUCUAGUAAGGAUUAUCUAAUUAAAUCAAACACUUAAUUUAAUCUUAAUCCAUAUCCCUUCUAGAUUUCGAAAAUAUGGGGAUAGGAUAAUUUCCUUAUUUAUCUCAAUUAUCCAAUAAGGCAACUAUUAUCCAAAACAAAGAAACCUUAAAAGGGGGAGCAUAUUUCGAAAUUACAAGGGGAGGAGGCUAGGGUUUUGGAAACCCUAACCCUAAUUUCGACUAGGGUUCAUGGAGGCUAGGGUUUUCGAAAACCCUUUGCACCAAAACCCUAAAAUCGAAAAUUUUGGCCUUUAGGGUUUAAUGGCUAUAAACCCUAAUUUGCAAUUCAACUAUUAUAGCAAUUCAAUUUAAAACAACAAUGGCUCUGAUACCACUGAUGGGUUUUAGGUAAAACAAAUAAACUAGAAAANNNNNNNNNNNNNNNNNNNNNNNNNNNNNNNNNNNNNNNNNNNNNNNNNNNNNNNNNNNNNNNNNNNNNNNNNNNNNNNNNNNNNNNNNNNNNNNNNNNNNNNNNNNNNNNNNNNNNNNNNNNNNNNNNNNNNNNNNNNNNNNNNNNNNNNNNNNNNNNNNNNNNNNNNNNNNNNNNNNNNNNNNNNNNNNNNNNNNNNNNNNNNNNNNNNNNNNNNNNNNNNNNNNNNNNNNNNNNNNNNNNNNNNNNNNNNNNNNNNNNNNNNNNNNNNNNNNNNNNNNNNNNNNNNNNNNNNNNNNNNNNNNNNNNNNNNNNNNNNNNNNNNNNNNNNNNNNNNNNNNNNNNNNNNNNNNNNNNNNNNNNNNNNNNNNNNNNNNNNNNNNNNNNNNNNNNNNNNNNNNNNNNNNNNNNNNNNNNNNNNNNNNNNNNNNNNNNNNNNNNNNNNNNNNNNNNNNNNNNNNNNNNNNNNNNNNNNNNNNNNNNNNNNNNNNNNNNNNCACUACAAGAAAAAAGGCCUUUUACGACGCUCAUUGCGCGUCGUAAACGGCUCAGACGACGCGCAAAUGCGUGUCAAGGAAGGCCCUGUCAUAAAGAGAGACGACGCGCUUUUGCGCGUCGUCUGUAGACGACGCGCAUUUACGACGUUCAUUUACGACGCACAAUUACGACGCGCGUUUACGUCACGCAAUGCGUAUCAAGAAAGGCCCUGUCAUAAAGGAAGACGACACGCAUUUGCGUGUCGUAACCUUACGACGCGCGUGUUAAUGACACGCAAUGCGUAUCAAAAAAGCCCCUGUCAAGAAAGACCAUGUCAUAAAUGAAGAUGACACACAUUUUUGCGUAUCGUAAUUUUAAAUUUUUUUUAAAAAAAAAUUUAUUUAUGGAUUUACUUAUUUUCAUAUUAAAUUUGCAUUUCAUGUCACAUAAUGGAAAAUAAAAUACCAUAUACAAGUAAUACAAUGCAUUGCACAAAAGUUAAUGUUAUACAAAUAAUCAUUCCAAUAGUAGACAAAAUAAUUAGAUACAAGAAAUAUGAAAAACUUGAAAUCCCUGAGAUUAAUAGUUCUAACAGAAACUUCAUGUGAGAUACAUACAGUUGGACCAGUAAGCAAGGAUGUUCCUGAAUCCACAAUAGUAGCACAAGAACACGUAUACAUCUUCUGCUACUGUUGAAGGUCGUCAUGAUAGCUGUUAUGAUUUAAGCAUAUAUAACAAAAAACCAAUAAGUGACUAUGAGAAUUUAGAUAGCGACAAAUCCAAUUUAAAUGGACGAAUGAGAAACAAUGGACUUUAAAAACUUACAUGUAACAAAAUGAUCAAAGGCUUCAUGGUAUGAAAAGGAUACAUAUACACACAUGUUGGUACCGGCUCACGGAGCUCUAAUUCCUCAACAGAUAUGACCGUGCUUGUAUCCGUGUGAACCAUUGAAUCAUCUCCAUAUAUGCCUAACCACCUUCUUCUUCUCCUUGCAUCCUUUCCCCAUCCAUGGAUUGUAUCUCUUAUACUUUGUGGAAUUAAUGUUGCCUAGCUUGUAAUUCGUACCCAUCUGUGUACAAUAAUACACUGUUCAUGUUACUAUAUCCCAUAUCAUUGCGACAUUGUCAUAUAAGUGUCUGUAUAUGUCAGAGUCUCCCACAUCUUUUUGGAUAUUUUCAUGAAAAAAUCAUACCUGGGUAACUAGGGCAUAGAGUGGUGGGGUGAUAUAGCUGCAUAAGAAUUGGCCCACAAACCUGGAUAAUGGAAACAAGAGAUAAGAAUACUUAGAGGUUUAAUUUUGUAUGAAAUUCAUGUCAAAAUUGAAAGGAACUUCAUUCAAACCCUAAAAACAGGUGUAUGUACGCGAGCAUGUGGUUCUUGAUGAAAAAAUCAUUAUAAUUGAAUUUCCACUAGAAUAACAAAAGUGCAUAGUUGAUGUAUAAAUAUAUAAUGCCAACUUUUGAGAUGAAAAUAUGUUAGGGGAUUAAGUAGAAGAAAUUACCCAGAACCAAAAGAAAGAAGCUAGCUCAAACGCUUUCUACAUACGAAUUGAUCAUGAGUUAUGAAGUUGUUUUACUAGCCCUAAAAACAAACACUUGAUGGAAAUGAAGAAUCAAAUGGAAGGAAACUACACAAACCAGGAAUUAUUGUAUGAAUUCAGUAGGAUAAGAUUUGCAAAGCACCUGUAAGGUAAAAGUAAAUAAAUAAAAUAAAACUUAAAGAGAAUAAGUACUUAAAAGUAUAUUUGCUGUAAAUAAUAAUCAAUACCUCAAUGGGAGUAAGCAUCUUUUUUUCACUAAUUUUAUCAUAUUUCUGCUUAAUUCUUGGUGCCAGCUUUUAACCCCUGCCAUGGAAGGCUACAACAGCAUACACAUAUUUCAUAACAUAAGCUAAGAUGAUGAUGUAUAUGACUAUAUUCCACAGAUUUCAGAUUUUUAGUCAUUUCACCACAGAUUCAUAGAUUUCAUCACAAAUAAGUCACAGAUUAAAUACAUUCAACUGAUUCAAGUAUACAAAUAAAAUAAAAGAAUGUAGAAGGAUUGUAAGAAAAACAUACCUCACUGCCUUUUGGUAUUGUUUGCAUAGCACGUAAAGUUGCCAUUCUGCCUUCAAAUACAAGAACUGAAUUUGGAGAGCAGCUGUAAAAUCAAAGUCAUUUGUUAGUUGAUGUGAGUGAAGUUUCAAAGAAGAAAAUACCAUUUUUACCCCUAAAGUCACCUGUGAUUUAUAAUGGAAAUGAAGGGAUAUAGUCCAGUUCCAAAUGGUAUCAGCUCACUGUCACAAAUUGUAUGUGCAUUGCAUGCAAGCUGUGUGCGAUUAAAAUAAUAUGUAUUGUGAUGCUAAGUUUCAAUGGUUUUUGUUGUUAAACUUGACACAUUUUCAUAAAGAUAUCUCGGAAGUUGAAGAGAAGCAGUUGGUGUUAUACGCACCAACUGCUUCUCUUCAAUAGUUAUUGUUUAUGUACCUUGCGAGAUAAAAGCUCACGAAUUGUGUUGGCUAAAGGUAUCACCGAGUCCAAACUCAUGCUUUCUAAUCUGGAAAUCAAUAAAUACCAUAAAGAAGUCAACUUUCAUAUUGUUGACUUUUAGUUUUAGUCAAAUUGAAAAUUUCGAAACAGAAUAAGGUUACCUUUCUGUGAUUUGUCCAGAAGUUUCUUGCUUUUUAAUGAAUUCAAGAGCUUCCUCUAGUCUUCCUAGAUUGAAAUAGGAUUUAACAAUCAGGGUUGACCUCCAUGAAUUAGGGCUUGUGUGUGUGUCCACCUCAGCAGAAUUAGGAUUCUGCUCACACAUCUGAAUAACCUGUUCAUAUCUUCGUAACUGAAAAACAGACAAGAGUGUUGAAUUGAAUCAUAUAAGUUAUCAAGAAUUAAGUAGAGAAAAUUAUAAACUACUUUGUAACACAAACCAUGAUUAAGAUAUCUGCUUUCAUUUGAAGUAAUUGCUCUGAGAAAUUGCUAAUCUGCAGAGCUUCAUCAAUAACUCUCAAUGCAGAUUCUAAUUCAUCAGAUGUUCUUCGUGGAAGUUCUGUAUAUUGCUUAAUGCAUUUUGUUACUUUCAUAAAGAUAAACAUUUAAUAAUUAAACCAAUGUUUAUAGGUGAUGAGUAGUAAUUGCUUACCUUAAAAAUACAAGCUUGGAGUUUUAUAUCUUUUGGGUCCCCAUCUCGAUCAAACACAUCAAAAGUGAUCAUAAUUGGGACUUUUGCUGCCGACUGUAAAGGGAUUCCACUAUUGACCUGAAUGCCCCUCACAAGCUUACUAGGAGCUGUUGGUAGAUAACAAUCAUCUCCAGGUAACUGAAUUUUUUCCAACCCUCUGUACCCAUAUCGUUUAUAAAAUUAAUAACCAGUAAACUACUAUAUGCUAAAAACAGGAAAACAUAACAUUUAAUCAAUAUAUAAAUGAAACAACUGAGAUAUACCUCUUGAUGCCAGCUCUCCUUUCUUCUUUGGGGAGUGGAUACAGAGCACCUGAUAUAGUGGUGACUUUUUCAAAGAAAUCAAAUUCUCUGUGAAAUACUUCACGUGCCUCGGGGCUAUAACCAUCAAUUAUGUGGUCUCUAACAAUGGGGAGUAGAGCUAGAAAUUCUUGUGUCUGAGAAGGACAAAAUGGUCAAAACUCAGAAAUAUGUUUGUAAAUCAUAAAAAACAAGUGAUGUUAGUGCAAAGCAGAUAUAGCCAUAUAGGUAAUAAGACACAUUUACCUACGAUGUUUUUUCCCCAAAUCAACAAUCGAAUAAACACAAAUCUAUAAUCAAUCACACAGACUUACAAGCUUCUUCAACAAGGCACGCAUCCUAGGGCGCACAUGACAGUCAUCGAUUGCAUCAAACGGAGGGAACACAAAGUCCUUUAAUAGAGGAUUAUCAUCAGAAACCAUCGACAUUGAAGAUGGCAGUGUGGCGGAGCAGAAUGAACCACGGCGAUGAGCGGCGGCGGGGGAAAGCGAAUGUGAGUAGCAGCAGCGGAGGAUAGUACUGCGAGGAGGAGGAGGUAGGCAGAAUAAGAAGGAAAGUGACCAAAGGGGGCAGAUGCGAGAUUUAAGAAGAUGUUUAGGUGUGGAAGAUGAAGAAGAGCAUAGGGGACGAUGGAAAGAGAGAACAAGGGAAAUGAUGAUAGCCAUUGCAACAACCACAGCUUCAGUAGAGAUAUCAUCGACAACUUCCGGAGAGAUUCUCGGUGUACAUCACUUUGGAAUCUGAACUUGACGUCAUCAUCGACAACCACAACUUCAAUAGAGAUAUCAACGGUACCGUUCUCUUAAGCGGCAGGCAUGAAGACGAAGACCUAGGGCUUUUCUUACUAAUUGGAAGGGGGGGUUAAUUUUUGGGAUUCAAUAGGCGGGUGAUUGUGACUCCAAGGACGACCAACCCUAGUAUAUCGAUGAUGGUGGGGAAGCCGGCAAACGAAGGUGAAUCGUCCACCCAUGCUCUGGUUUGAUUUGCUUUUGUGAGGUCCUGAACAAAAAGCCCUAGAAUUAAGGAGGAUGUAUUUUCCCCAGUAUCUACUAAAACCCUGGCCUAGCACGUGCUAGAGAGAAGGGAGGUGGUGAUGGCUUAGGGUUUAUAGAGAGACGGGAGGUAGAGAAUGAAGGGAGAUCUAGAGGAGAGAGUAUCAGAGAGAGGAGAGUGGAUUGCAAGGAUGAAAGAUAGAUAGAAGAUUUCAAAACAAGGCGGGUUUUCAAAAUUUUGGGGAUUUCGUUUCCCCCUCGUCUACUAAAAGCGUGUUUCAUUAAAAUUAUAAAGCGACAGGUAAAGACGACGCGCGUUUAAGAUAAAGCGCCCUCCGUGUUUUUAAUUUUUUUUAUUGAGACACUAAAUUAAGGGCACGCAGUAAUGCGUGACGUAAAUCCUAAAUUUUUUUGAAGAGAUGACACUAUUUUAAGGGCACGUCCUUUUGCGUAUCAUUAAUCAGCGCGUGUCGUAAAAAGCGCGUCAUUAAAGGUCUAUUUUCUUGUAGUGUUCCUAAUAACGUUACUAUAAUUAAAUAAACGAUAUAUUAAAAAUAGCGUAGGCGUAGCUCACUUACAGCGAGUUUUAUAGAAAACUGGGCUUUUCUUGGAGCAGCGUUCCCGAGCCAAAAAGCUCUUCUUAUCGGAGCCGUCGAGCACUCCGGGGCUUCCGCCUCGUGCUAGGGAGGUUCCCUAGCCUUUUUGGGCGGUUUCGGGGCUAGAGAGAGGUUCUAGAGAGAGAGAGAGAGUAAAAAGAAGAAAGAAUGAGAACGGUGUGAAGAAAAUGAGGGUGGAAGAGGUUCUAUUUAUAGGGUGAAAAUGGAUGAACUUGGUGCCACAUGUCACCAUCUAGUGGCAAGACUUGGGCAGAAAGCAAUGGCCAAGAUUGUGCCACAUCACCCAUUUUCGCACAACACACUUCCGACUUCUAAAAUCCAUAACGGUCACAUACAACCUCCAUUUUUGACAUUCUUUAUAUCCACGCAUAGCUAAAAAUAAGAUCUACAACUUUCAUUUUGACUAUGUUGGCUAAUUCUCGACCGAUCUUAAAUUUAACAGUACGAGGAGAUUAUACUGUUAAAUGUCCGCGUAAAAUUCAUAACUUCAACAUACGGACUCUGUUUUCGUCUUUCUUUUUACCGUUGAGUUCCUAUUAAUGAGAUCUUCAAUUCUCAUUUAGGUUGCGUAGGCCAAAAACCACUUGAACUAAAAUUCGAGUUUCGGACCAUGCACUGCUAUGCCAAAUCUUAGAAAAUUCAUAACUUCGGCGUUCUUUUUUUGUAUGUUCUCGGUUUAACAUAUAAUACAAAUUUUAUUUGGAUCGAUAAGGCUAAAAAGUACUUUAUCAAAAAUUCAAUAUUUACGUCUCCCGGUGCAAUGUCGGUUUUGCCGUAAAACUUCGACUGGCCAUAACUUCUUCGUUAUAACUCGGAUUUCGGCGUUCUUUAUAUGUACGGAACCCUUAAGACAUAUUAUAAAACUUGGUUAAGAUUAUUUAUUCUAAAUAAUAUUUUGUCGAAAAGUCGUUUUCGACCCCUAUUAUCUCUAAAUUGACUAGCCCGGAUCUACGGGCGUUACAAUUAUCUCCCCUUAGGAUGAUUACGUCUCGGAAUCAUCAACGAAAUAGGCUCACAUGAUGAAUCCAUACGUUAUCUCUUCAUCCUAAGUAAUAACCGUAACUUUGAUGUUUCUUCGAACAAAUAUCUAACUCUAAGACUUCCUGAUUGCAGGCGGUGCUCGAUCUUGCACUUGCUCCCUAUCUUACGUUAGACUCCAAAUUAUGACCUUCAAGUCACAAUCUCGAUCCUUACUGGAGACUACUUAUUUUUCUUAACAAACUUAAGAUAAGUUAUUUUAUUACUAAAAUGGACCGAUGUGUCAUAUUCUAAUGACUCAUCAUCGUAUGUUCCCACGCUUAGACUCAGAUCUCUUAGAGUCUUCCAGAACAGACUAUACUUUCGUUCAUGUUCCAAUCUCAUCUUAAAAGGUAGCAUUUCUAGCUACAUGCAACUAUCGCGAUACCUCUACUGAUUACUUUGAUUGUUUUUCUCUUCAAGCUUUUAGCUUAAGUCAGUUACUACAUUGGACUUGAUUCUCUGAACUAUUUAUCAAACUUAUCGUAGUCGGGCUCAAUUUGAUAUGACUGCUAGGAUUGGUAUAACAAUCACCUUCUUAGUCUUUACCGAAACGAUGAUAACGAUAUUCUUGAAUAAAAUGGUACCAAUUACUAGUUUCUUGGUAACCUUGUGACCUUCCCUGAUCCAAGUGCGAGUCCUGUGCUUCCGGUAGUAUAGGCCUCUACUACCAUUCACACCUACUCAUACUCGUCCCAAGUACUAUCUUGCAGUUUUCCCAAGUUACCAUAAAAUAAAAUCACACGACAACUUAACACAUUAGAUAGCAAAAACAAAGGUUUUUUUAUAUUAUUCCUUGAAACGAUUACAUAGGUGUUCAAGUUCACCCUAGACUAUGCCUUUAAUAGGCUACAUCAUACGAUAUUAUGGCUACUGCAUAACUCGAUCUUCGGAUAUGAAGUCCUCAUCCUUGAUUCCUCGCGUUGUCAUCUGCUUUGUCAAGGUUCAUCUAAAAUGCUCUUGCCUUUGGUUUUGGCGGCAUAUUCGGCUUUUUAGAUUCUUCUUUCCUUGGGCAGUCAUGCUUGAAGUGUCCCUCUUCACCACACUUAAAGCAGACUUCUCUCUUGGUUGUGCAUUCACUGGCGUAAUGACCAGUCUUCUCGCAUUUAAAGCAGGUCAUCUCUUUAGAGCAUUUCCCAAUGUGCUUCUUUCUGCACUUGUCACACCAUUGCGUUCCUUCUUUGAACUUCUUUGAACCAGUAUGUCACACCCCAAAACCAGAACGGUGGAAAUGUUCGGGGGUGGAGGACGUCAUGUCAAGUAUCACGAGAUAUGUAUAUGGUAAGCAAGUAAAAAACAACCAUUUCAUUUAGAAAGAAAGUGUUUACAAUGUGUGUUCACAAAACAUAGAAGUCAUAAACAAAUAACAAAACAAGACUUGAAGCUAUAAUGCUCCAUCUUCUGAAUUCCCAACAUGAGCACCUGUCUAAUAGUCUCCUGAGAAUACAAGUUAUUUGAAAGAGUUUAUCAGCAAUUAAGCUGGUGAGUUCAUAAGAUUUAAGUGAUGUGAGUAAGCUGUAAAGUGUUGUGGAAAAUGUAUAUGUAAAAGUGGUGUAAGCUGUAAGUUCUGUUUUGAAAGGUUUGUCUGUUCCUCUAGAAAAUCCGAUAUUUCCUAAUUGAAUGAAAGUAACUAAAAUGACACUACAAGCCUUUCUAUGGGUACUAAGUGGGUACAAGUUAUCUAUACUAAGAGUAAAUAAACUAUCAAUUGUACACAUCUGCCCUAAGCUCACAACCCAACGGGGAACAGAAAGUAAGGCGGAUAGCACACAUUCCAUUGGUUGUUAGAUUGUUGUCAUAUAUAACCCUGGUGUAUUCACUUGUUACUCAUGAAGUUAUUUGUAAUGGUUCCUUUAUAUUUAAUGAAAAGUUCUUUUAAGAAAACCUAUAUUUAUUAUAGUAAAAUAUUGACCACGGUGACUACUUUUAUAAUAGCUUUGUUUAUACUGCUAUAUAUAAUUUGAUAUCGGGUAGAAAGUUAAUUGGGUGAAUCUGCCCUAAGUCCACAACCCAACGAGGACAGGAAGUUAGGCGGAAAACACACAUUUAACUAUCUAUUGGGUAUUAGUUUUAUAUAUAAACAUGGUGUAUAAACUAAGGUGUUAUAGAGUUAUUCACCUAAAGUCUUUAAGUGUAUAAUGGCUUAAUUAAAAUGGAUUAAGCCCUUAUCUGGGAAAUUUCUAGUUUUGUAUAUCAAAAGUACUGACUUUGAAAAGUAUGCUUUGUACUAGAAAAGUUGUGCGUUGACUCUGUGUCCUAUAACCUGAUCCAUACCUGGUACCCUUAUGAUGACUUAAUGGAUACUAAGCAUAAAUAUAUAUAGAUUCGGGUAGAUAAUAGAUUGGGUGAACUCGUUCCAAGCCCAUAAUCCAACGAGAACAGGAAAUGAAGCGAAGAGCACACAUCCUAUUAGCUGUCGGAAUCUAUUAGUAUAUAUGUAUCCUGUGAUGUAUACAUUAAGGAAUCAUAAGACUACCUAUCCUUUAAUCGUAGCCUUCUACCAAGGCAUCUUCUGUUCUGUGCUAAACUCGACUGUUCCUUUGUCAAAUGUAAAAGUAUAUUCUCCCUAGUUUAUAACUAUCUUGACUAGAAAAUAGAUCAACUUUCAAGUGGUACUGUCACUUUAUGAAAGUAAUGGGAAAAGUAAGUUCACAGAUGUCGUUUAUAAUGACAUGUGGAUGUACUAAAUAACCUACAAAACAUAUUUGUUUUAUUACGGUCAUAAUGUGAAGGCUAGAACCCCUACUAAACGCUCUCCCUGUCAAGAGAUUAAGGGAACCAAACGCGACCCCAGCAAAUUCUUGCAAGCCGUGUAAUUCACAUUAAAGUAAUAUGAUCAUGUAUACCCAAUAUAACUAUCACCUUUUGUUUAAAACAACGAGUUAGUGAUUCGUUGGUAUAAUUAGAUCAUGUUUGUGUGUUCUCAUGCUAUAGCAACUUAACUUGUUUGUUCUGUUCUGUUCUGGUAUUGUUUGAUUCUCUUCACUGUUUGUUCUGUUAUGGUAUUGUUUGAUUCUCUUCACUGUUUGUUCUGUUAUGGUAUUGAUUCUUUGUGUGCUUCAUUGUACUAGAAGUAAUGAAUAACAUUCGCCUAAACUAUACCUAUAAUAGUUUACUAAUGUUCUACCUGGACUGUUACUGAAAAGACUCAUUUAUCUACUAAGUUAUGCUUGUACUUUAAAAACAGAGUUUUGUAUAACUAUAAAGUAACAUAACUUUUAAAAGAGUUUUGAAAUGUUUUGACAACAUAUAAAUAACAUAAGUAACAUUUUGAAAGAUGUUUAACAACAAACAUUUACACAAUUAUCAUUGUGUUCAACCUGUAUUCCCCCUUAAAACAGUUAAAAUAGUUAAAGGAUUCAUUACGGGGUAUGAACUCACCUGUUGUGGGUGAUUCAAACGGGGAUGCGCAUACGGAUGAGAAGUUCCACGAAUGAUGUCCCGAGACACAAUAAGUCGUAAAUGAUAUAUAAUGACACAUAUUGGCAUGAAUAUGGUGUUUAUAACAACUAUAUGAAAGGAAACACCUUCCGGGACUAGGAAAGACCUUGACCAAGUGUUAGAAUCACAUGUGAUUCAACAAAGGAAGGUAGAAUGGCACUCACAUGAGUUUACUACCAUGGGUUUACAGCCCAAAGGAUUUUACACCUGUAAACUCAUGGUUAUUCAUGUAUAAGUGCAAGUUUGAAAGCUAGGGAUGUUUUAAGGACCUGUGCUCUACCCUAGGAUGAGGAAGACCACUAUCUUUGAAGCCUUUGGGGUGUUCACGGCCCUAAUGAGUUUACAAAUGUAAAAUCAUGACCAUUUAUGUUUAUGAGAGUUGUUUAGGGUCCAAAAAGUCAUAAUGAAGCAUCCUAACUUCAAGUCUAAGCCUUAGGAAGUGUUUGUGGCAUCAAUACACCCUUAAAUUGAGUUUUCGGCCCAUGGACCACUUUGACAUGUGUUUGCGGCCGUAAUCACCUAUGGGUGAUGGUAUUUUGAUUAUUUUGAAUACUAAACACAUCAAGGUAAAGUGGUAGGCUAGUCUCUAGGCUUAAGGAAGGAAUUUGGGGCAUCUUUGCACCAUAAAAGGGAGUUUACGGCCCAAGAAAUUCCUUGGCCGUAAACUCUCUUCUAACCUUUGUUUCUUGAUGUUUCUAAGGUCUAGACAUGUUUAAUCUAGUGUACAACAAGUUAUAAGAAUAGUGCUUACGAUAUAGGAGCUUGAACUAGUCGAUUUGGCCAAGAACACGAGUGUGUGUUCUUGGUGUUUCUUGAGUAUCUAAACAAACAUGAUUUUCAUGGAUGAAAUUAAUGUAACAAGCUAGUUAAUAAGAUGUAUUAACUAAUCAUGGGAUAGAAUACUCACUUUUUGAAGAUCUAAGGAAGAAGGUUGGAUAAUAUUUGAGAGGAUUUGGGAGAAAAUUCGGUCAAGAAAGGGAGAAAUGAGAAGAAAUGACCCAAUGCCCUAUAUAUACUCUUGAGUUUACGGCCACAUGAGUUUACGGCCAUAAAAUCAUGGUCUUGUGGUCGUGAACUCACUUAGAUGAGGUUAGGGUUCGGUUUGCUACAUUGUGGUUCUAGCGGGUACUUUCUAACACUUGUUCCUUAAGUGUAUUAGGCUCAAAACUCCUUAGAAUGACCUAUAACCAGGCUAGAACUUUGUACUAAUGAUUUUGACACUCAGUUGAGUUGACUGACUGAGCUUAUAAAAUAAAAAAAUUCGGGUUGUCACACAGUAUUCAGGAAUUUUCUCUUCUCGUCGGACCUUGAGGAUCCUUCAAACUUUCUGUUCUCGCCAACCUCCAUCUUGCUGGCGGCUCUUCCCUUGAUCAUAUCUUCAACAGACUUGGCCGUCCAGAUAGCUGCCUCUAGAGUAGGUGCCUGACGUACUGGCACCACAUACUCCCAUGGAAGUCCCUUUGCGUACUUGUCAAUUUUUGUUAGCUCGUCCGGGAGCAAAGCAAACUCCAUCUUGUCCGUGAAGUUGUUGGUGUAUUCAUCAAUGGUCAUGCUUCCUUUCUUCAAGGUUAGGAAUUGGUUCUCUAGCUCGAGCAGGUUUUGGGAUGAACGAUACUUACGUUUGAAUUGCACCAAAAACUAUGCCCAAGUCAAUUGUAGGGGCUUAAUGGGGCUUAGAGUCUUCCUUAGGGUAUUCCACCAGCGCACAACGCCUCCUCGGAACUGGCGCACUGUAAAGGUGGUUUGCAGCUUGCCUCUCCAACCGCACGUCAUAAAAGCUAACUCCAUUUCUGAGAUCCAAUCCAGGACUCCGAUCGGGUCUUCCUUUCCAGUGAAAGUCGAUGGCUUGCAAGUCAGAAAAUCCUUGUACUUGCAUCCGUUUCUCUCGACUACAUCAUCUUGGUCGUUUCUCCUAUUAACAGGCAGAUCAGCUUGGCCCACUGACCUACUUAGUUUCCUUCCUCUGAUUGUUCGGGAAUCGGCUCCUGUUGCACAAUGGGCACGGUGGCUUCGUCCCUAUUCUCUUGCAUCAUCCGCCUCAUUACUUCCCUUUGUUCCGCUAACAUAGCCNCGGCCAUCGUGAUUGGCUCAGGUGCAACUUCUACUAUGACUGGUAUUUGUUGUAUCACUGGGGGUUGAUCUCGAUUCCCAUUUGCAUUCACGUUUCCGCUACGGGUCCUUAACAUCAUGAUCUAUACACCGAAUAAGGUGAAUAUGUUGGGUUUUGCGCAUUCUAACACUUCCUAAGUGUACAUGCAACCCUAAAUACCUUGGAUCUAUGUUUUCUCUAUUAUACAUGCAAAUAAGAACUUCCAAGGUAUUAUCCUAAUCUAGCAUACAAAACAAUAAUGUAACAAGAUAGAAUACAUACCUCUUGAUGUAGAAAGUCUUCAUGAAGCUUGAGUGCUUAGUGCCCCAAGUGUGACACCUCAAAUGGAAUCACAAUCAUCAAAACACUUAGAAUGACUUGAGAGAAUUCUACACUCACCAAAAUCGGCUAGCCCUUUCUUGAAUACUACUAGUGGCCGAUUUUUCCUCAAUAAUAAGAUGCUUAUAUAGUUACACAAUUAGGGUAAACUCUUAAUUGUCAUGGCUUUCCAUUUCCUUGGAUCCAUGGGUACAAAUACACCAUGGAGCAUCCAUGGACCAUCCUAUGGGUUUUAGCCCAACUUGAUUAUCCAUGGAGCAUUAGCCCACUAUACAAGUAUGGAUGAUUUACACAAUCAACCCAUAUAUUUAAUUAGUCUUCUUUUGAUCACUUAAUUAAUCCUAGAUUAAUUCUUGAUCAAUACUAAUUAAAUAAUCUUAUUAUUCUUAUUAUUAAUAUACUAGAACUUAUAAUAUAUUAAUAACCAUAAGUGUCUUAUUUCUCUCAUUCAAGUGCAUGAUGGUAUGCAACCCAAAUGGACCAUGCCGGGUCGGGUCAAGUCUUACCAAAUAUAGUUAUGGACUUAGACAUUAAUCCAACAGUCUCCCACUUGGAUAAGUCUAAAACUAUUAUUGCGUAUGACUUCAGGAACCAACCGGCAAUCGUAGCUCUCAAAAGCUUCUGUCGAACUCUGACCUUGUAGAUGAACUCUGACCUUUGUCAGUGACUUGUCCAUUAGAUAAGGGAUCAUAUAUUCCUCCAUUCUAGAUAUCAUAUGGACUGAGACAUGGAUUAUAAUCAUUCUCUCUGUCCAUUUGUUGUUUCCCGAUUUCCGAUUUAUGACGACUGACUAAUUGAACAAAUCAAAUCAGUCCUGGCCCGGCCGAGCACUUCCAUUUGUCAUCAUCAAAUCAUCGAGGGGCCCACAGAUAUCGCUUUUAUCCCGAAGGUAAAAGGAACGGAUAAACUUCGACUCAUAUGGCUUGUUCUACUACUUGUUGAAUCAUACACAAAGGCACGUUUUAUAGCACCGAGUUACCAAAUGCGUUUUCGUGCUAUCAAUGUACUAUCAACUCAUAGUAACAACUCAUAUCUCUAGGUUUGAAGAAUAUAAGAUAUUAUCGUCUCAUGAUCACUCGUGAUAAAAUCCAUGAAGUGAUUCCAAUGAGCGCGGGUUGAAUCCAAUACUCAGAACUUAUGAGCACUCAUGAUUGUUGUAGCCUUGUCCAACACCUUAGACCUCUACAACCCAUCAUGACAGUCUUAAUUCAUAUCUACUUCCAACAUAUGACCGACUGUGGAUGGUUUGAAUAACUUAGUCAUUCCGGAAGAAUAACCCAGUUUAUUCGGGAAGUCAAAACAUGCAAAGUGAAACACAAUAAUAAUUGAAUCCAAUAUGGUAUCAACCCUUUGAACAUAAAUAAAACACCUUUUAUUUAUCACCAUAUGAUUACACAUUAUUCAUUGUAUACUGUUUCAGCUAUCAACUUUAUUCUUGAAUUUAAAACAAUAGUUGUCCCAUGCUCCAAGCAUGUACACUAUGUUUUCUUAAACACUAGUCAUGCCACACACCAAGUAUGCAUACUAUGUUUGUCUAUGAUCUUUACUUUGUGAACUAGAUCAAUUGAACAUAACUUCAAUGAUUCUCUUUUCACACUCCCAAAUCCUUACUGCAAAUGCAAGAAUUCCAAAUUCAUGCCAUUUACUGAAAUCUGUUAGAUUCUAAACUUAUAUGCAUUGAUCCUCUUGUAAUGAUUAUGCACAAAGUCAGAAAGACUUGACAACAAUCAUUACAGAGUAUUCCAAAGGAGAUCAGCUCCUUGGAAACAUCCUUCUUGCAUUAAGUUUCCUAAUCUUAAACAGAUUGAAAAUUCUAACUUUGAAACAUUUCCAGAUUCCAUUUUGACUAUCACUUCUGAACAAGAGUUGCCUCCUUACAGAUUAUGUCAAUAUGGUCCUUCCAGAAUUAUCACUAUACUUCCAACUGUCCUUGAGCAACCAAUCUUUGGUAAACCUUAGAUUGUCCUCGACAAUUGUUUAAUCCUUUUAGUCAUAUCCAGUUCUAAACCUUUUCCCUUCUUAAUGCCCCAGGCAUUUGGAAAAUUUUAGAACGGAUGAAUAUAGCACAUGUAAUCGAUCCUAUAUCCGAAGCAUAUGGGACACGAUUCAUGAUGUCUUACAUAAAGACUAAACCAGUCUUUUGCUAUAAUAUUUCCAUUUCAAUUUGCCAAGUUCUCAUAAUUCAGAUUAUGAAAAGGGAUGCCGUAAUCAUAAUCGAAUUUUAGAACGCAAAUAAUGGACCCAUAUACAGAAUUUCCUUAUGUUGAGCCAUUCCAACAUGAAAUUCAUAUAUAUCCUUGACUAAAUGAUUAAAACCUCACGAUCUAAGCUUAUAGAUUUGAGAUGAAGUAUAAUUUCCUCUCCCUUAAUUAUAGCAAAACAACUUUUUCCCAAUUGAAACUUUUGUUUUCUAUAAUUAACAUUGCUAACUUGCAAUACUUAUCAUAAUUAUCAUGCUCCCACUAACAUGAUGAUUAUUAGCAUAACACUUAUGCUCCCACUAGCUUUGACAUGUACUCAGAAAUCAGCUGGACUUCUAGAAAUCAAUACUUCAUUGACUUUCUUACCAAAGUUCAGAUUUCUGAUGCUAGAUUGUUUUGAUAAAGCUGUAUCAAAAUCAUACACCUUCCCUUAGAUAGCACACUUGUGUAUCUAAACAAUUAUGAAGAGGGAUGCCGUAAUCAUAAUGUUUAGACCUUUUUGCCACUUCUCACAAGUCCAAAUUAGUGUGCCGGUUAACCACACGCGCUCCACUAACGACUUUGAGAAUGCAAAUAUCACAAUUGCUAUCUAGCUAAAAUCUACUUAGUGAAAGUGUUUCCUCACCAUCAUUUUCAUGAAUCGGAGAGAAACCUUAUGACACUUAGAUUUAAUGGUGUAUGUGUUCUUAUCCAUGUGAAUUGUCAAAACCAUAGUCACAAGACAAGGAUAAUGACAAAUCCAAACUCAUAUGGACUGAACUCAAUCUUAAUUUCUUGCCACCUGGCAGCUCAAGGGCCUACCAUUGCUUCCAAGUUGUUGUGCAACAAAUUGAGAACUCUAAGAACUCAUAUGCAAAACCAACUUUAACUGGAAUGGGCACAGAAUAUGUCAACACGAUAGGUUAUGAACCUCAAGUUGUGUGCUAGUGAAGAACUUUAGGUUUUAUUCUUGAUUAGUUCUUGAGACUUUCAAGACUUUUAAGACUCCCACUGACCUCUUGACCUAUAAGACUCCCUUGUCAAAUAUCCAAGAGAUAGUGUGGAUUCUAAUCAAGACAAACACUUCACACAAUUGGCCUAAGUUGGUCUUUGUUUUAUCCAAAACAUCACAACUUACCAAUUUCAAAUGUACAAGAGUAGAAAACUUUUACUCUUACAUUUGACAAGUGUUUUAAACCUUCUUUAAGACAUGUCACUCAAGUUACAAUCUUGGAGUAUGACUCUAAGACUUGUAUUGGAACGAAGUAUGACUCAUCUUCUUGAUUUAACCAUUUCAACAAUUCAAGUUCCUCUUCUUAGUCAUAAGAAUGCACUAAGAUUUCCUUAGAGAACUAAUUUUGAUAUGGUUUCUUAAUCAUUAAGAUGAUCACAAAACUGAUACUAAAGUACUCUCCCAUCUUUUCAGAUUUGAGAAACUUUUAUCCUUCUGCCUAAUUUGAUUCUUCUUAUUCGCUCUGCCAUACAUUGGAACCUUUUCCAAUGUCUCAGAGUUACACUUAAGCUUGUAAGUAUAAUCAUAUUUACUGAGCUUUAGUAAACUAUGACGAAUAGUCUUAUCAAUCUUUUGUGGUGGACUUAAUCAGUGCACAAGAAUGUGUACUCGAUCCCUUAGUCCUUUACUUGACUCACACAUCCAUGUGGCCGAGUAAUUAGUCUUAAUUUUCCAAAACUUGAAAGUUCUCAUUCAUCAUGCUAUACAACUUGCAUGAUUCCAAGUUCCGGUCCAAUUGAAACUUGGGUGAUGAGAAUCUUUCCUUAUUUGGUAAAUCUAGACAUUACCACAAAUGAAAGAAUCAAUUUCAUAUUUCCACUCUUGCUAUUAAUGGAAUCAUAUAAGCAACAAUUUUUCCUCAAAUGCCAUUGUAAGGAUAUUUUAAAAUAAAUAAAAUCAAAAAUUUUCUUUUAUUUUAAAACUUUGCGGAAAAACUUAUCCUUACAAUCCAUAUGAAAACUUGUUGUUAUCUAUUCCUAAGCAAUAUCUCAUAACUCCUAAGAAGUUGCUCAAGAAUCCGAUCUUCAAACUAUGCGAUAGAAAUCCAUCUACGCCAUCAGAUUCAGCAUAUUCUUUCUUUAAGUUUCUUCACUUUUCUUUGAUUCUUAAAACAUCACCAUGUGACCCAGUCACAUCAUGUAUCAGGAAUCUCAGAAUAGAAACUUAACAGAGUUAGAUAGUGGACUUUACCUGAAGUAGAGUCAAACUUAUUGACUUUAACAUCCUUAGGUAAAUUUGGCAGCUUCGCAACCAAUGCCCCUUCCUUUGGCAAUAUAAACAUAUGGACCCUUUGAUAAUGGUACACGAGACUAUCACAGACUUAGCUUUUCUCUUUACCAUUUGGUCAACCGAGUUGACUAUGGCCGAUCCCUUUCCAUUGGGAAGAGAAUGCUUUACUGGAUAUCCAAUGUCAUCAUUGUCAAUGUCCAUAAAGUUUUAGGAAGUUGAUCUUAGCAAAUAGAUAAGAUCAUUAAGGGUCUUGUCAUAGUCUGUUUCAUAGGUGUCCCAAAGGAACUCACUAUGUGACUUAGAAAGUGAUUGAACCACCAACUUUCUCAAGACUUUGACACCCAACUCUCCCGGCUUGUCAAUAUGUGACUACAUCUCCAAGAUGUGAUCACACCUAGACCUUGCCUUGCCAAUAGGGCUUGAGUGACCUUAAACUUUUCAAGAACUUGUGGGUUAGGGAGAAUAAUUGGAGGAGGAGAAAGAAGUAUGAUAUCCAUGGGACAUCAUCUUCAUUAGGAAACCUUGUUUCAAGAGAUUUGGGAAGAUCAUAGGUGUCUAAACCAGACAUCUUUUGGGAGAUAUUCAAGAUAGUUGAUUUAAAGUCCUUAAUAUGACACCCAAUAUGAAAUAUUAAGGCUAGGACCCAACAAACUAUUUUAUAACUUAGAAGAGGUAUGCCGUAAUCCAAGCUAUAAAAUAUUUGAAGGUAGGUGAAUGACGAUUCACCAAUUUCCACCAAGAUAAACGAAAUGUAUUAUUAGGUUUUAAUUGGUUUUGAAACUCCUAGAUCUUUGAGAUUCAUUGAACUGUUCAAAGGCAUGUUUCAAUCUCGAGUGUGCCCUUCAGGUUUUGUGACUGGGAUGCCGAGGAUCACAAAACAAGGUGUGAAGUAACCAUGCAAAUCACUUGGUACCCUUAAUAAAUUACCCCUCAAUCGAUGUGCCGGUUAACCACACACGCUCCAUCGAUACUAUGAUAAAUAUUAAGUCACCCUUUACCUACCUUGUUAAGUCCAAGUUAGUGUGCCGGUUAACCACACACGCUCCACUAACGACUUAGACAAAGUGUAAAGUGUAAUUUCAUGGAUUAGCACCUUAUUCACAUUUUUCCUAAGUAACUAAGAUUGGGUAUUAUUAAGAGUUUAGUUACUUAGUAUUAUCAUUAAUACUUUUAAUGAAGGGAGAAUUCUAGUCCUGUCAAACCCGUUCGGCUAACGACCCUCCACCAGUCAAGCAAGCGGUGGGUGAGAGUGGACACCCAUUAAGUUGCCAUUUUAUAGGCAACAACCUUAUACCCACCUUAUAGACCGGCUUCGUGAAUGAGGCGUACUAGCGGUAAGACUGACUUUACUCUUAUACAUAUAUAUAUUAUUAACUUAUAAUAUUAUAAAGUAUAAGGGUUGAAUUUUAACUUUUAAAAUUCUAAGGGCUAACUUGGAAUUAAAGUAUUCAUAAGUGAAAACUUUACAAAUUCCAAAACUUGAGGGCAAGUUUUGAAACUAUUCAAAACUAAUUAAUUCCAUAACUUAUGUGUUUAAAGUAGUUUUAAUCCAAAAACUCUUCAAGUUCCAUAACUUGAGGACAAGUUAUGGAAGACUUUAAACUAAUAAAAGAAUUAACUUUUCUUUAUUUUAUAACUUAUGGAAUUAAUUAAGGUUACACUUUUUUUUUUUUUAUUUUAUUUUAUUAAAUGAAGAGACUCUUGGUCCUCCAUAACUUGAGGACAAGUUAUGGAGUCAUAAAACCAUUUAAUUAGAACUAGACUCUUCAUUUUUGUAACCUUUGCCAAUUUUUAUGAGUUUUAUGAUUCUUAAAUGUGACUUUUCAUAUAACUUGAGGACAAGUUACAAAAACACAUUUUAGAAUCAAUUCUUAGAUUAAUUUGGAUUAAAACCAACUAUCACAUAAUUUUAUUCAUUAAUCUAAAUUCACUCAUAAAACAAGGUAACACAAAAAACUUUUGGUGAUCCAUAACUUAUUCUUAAGUUAUGGAAUCCUUUAAAACAUUAACACCAAAUUUUGUAACUCCAAAAAAACUUUGAAUCAAUUUUUUUUUUAAAACCUUUUCAUAUCCAUAACUUAUGGAGGUUUCAAAAAAUAAAACUCUUUAGAUCAAACUUUUAAAACUAAUAAAAUAAUCAUAUUAUUUUAUCUUUUAUUAAAUUUGACCUAAUUCAACUCAUAAAGCAAAUUAUUCAAAUUUUACAAAUAAUUAGUUUUUCACAAGAACAAGUAAUUAUCUUAAAAUUUGACAAACUUCAUGUUUUUUUUUUUUUUUUUUUUCAACUUUGAAAAUAAAAUAUUUGCAUCAAUAUAACAGAAAACAACCCGUGGCUCUGAUACCACUGUUGGGUUUUGAGCAUUCUAACACUUCCUAAGUGUACAUGCAACCCUAAAUACCUUGGAUCUAUGUUUUCUCUAUUAUACAUGCAAAUAAGAACUUCCAAGGUAUUAUCCUAAUCUAGCAUACAAAACAAUAACUAUAGCAAGAUAGAAUACAUACCUCUUUGGUGUAGAAAGUCUUCAUGAAGCUUGAGUGCCUAGUGCCCCAAGUGUGACACCUCAAAUGGAAUCACAAUCAUCAAAACACUUAGAAUGACUUGAGAGAAUUCUACACUCAUCAAAAUCGGCUAGCCCUUUCUUCAAUACUUCUAGUGGCCGAUUUUUCCUCAAUAAUAAGAUGCUUAUAUAGUUACACAAUUAGGGUAAACUCUUAAUUGUCAUGGCUUUCCAUUUCCUUGGAUCCAUGGGUACAAAUACACCAUGGAGCAUCCAUGGACCAUCCUAUGGGUUUUAGCCCAACUUGAUUAUCCAUGGAGCAUUAGCCCACUAUACAAGUAUGGAUGAUUUACACAAUCAACCCAUAUAUUUAAUUAGUCUUCUUUUGAUCACUUAAUUAAUCCUAGAUUAAUUCUUGAUCAAUACUAAUUAAAUAAUCUUAUUAUUCUUAUUAUUAAUAUACUAGAACUUAUAAUAUAUUAAUAACCAUAAGUGUCUUAUUUCUCUCAUUCAAGUGCAUGAUGGUAUGCAACCCAAAUGGACCAUGCCGGGUCGGGUCAAGUCUUACCAAAUAUAGUUAUGGACUUAGACAUUAAUCCAACAGAAUAUAGAUCUUUAUUUAGGAGUGAUGUUUAAAUCAUCCUUAUUUCUCCGAAACUUUUAUAUGCUAGUUCUAAUAUCGUAGUCGUACGUUUAGAAUCCUAAACACAUAAGGUUUCCAGAUCUGGUCGGCAACAUACCAUAGAUUCGAACAAAUAACAACAUAUCAAGCACAAAGCAUUUAGCACAUAAAGGCAUUUUAGGCAUAAUUCCUAAAAUAAGCUAGUGCUCACAUCUCACAAGCAUUUUAGGCAUAAUUCCUACAAAUUCCUAGUUUGCUUAAACUAAUGCUCUGAUACCAACUGUAACAUCCCCAUUUUCACGGCCUGAAAAGACCGAUUUUGUUUAUGCUUUAUAAAAUCAGAGUACCUCUUUCAAUAAAAAUGUUGCGGAAUUUGUUCCCAGUAAAACAUGAUAAAUACGUUAUCAAAUCACUUCUAAAGAAAAGUAUUUUUAUUCAUUUCNACAUUUGGGAUGUCAUCGUCAAUACAGAAACAUAAGCAUAAACAGAACUUACAUUCAUUAUCACUAGUGAUUUAUAUCUCCUUAAUCUCUUAGUGUAAUGUGACUUCAUAUCAACACCUGUGAUAUAAAUAAACUGAGUGGGUCAGGUUGGGAAACCUGGUGAGUACAUAGGGAUUUCAAUCCUACAAUGUUAUACCAUAUAUAUAGUUUAAAACUCACAAAAUAUACAAUUUCACCAUAUAUAUAAACAACUCUUAUUCCACCCCGUCGAUCCUCACAACGAGUCUAUCCAUACUCUCGGACCUAAGAUUAUACGUUUUACCUAAUCCAUACUCCCGGAUCAUAAAUGAACGACUUUACCUCAUCCAUACUCUCGGACUAGGGACAAAUGACUAAUCCAUACUCUCGGAUUAAUGAUGAAUGAUUAUGCCUAAUCCAUACUCUCGGACUAGGGACAAUGACUAUGUCUAAUCCAUGCUCCCGGAUCAAUGACAUAUACUAAGGUUUUAUUCUCUGAGUAUAAUUCACUCGUACUCAUAAAAAAACACUACCCAAUAUUCCUCAUAAUUAAUUUAGGUUUACUAUUUAUCCUAAAUCAUCAUAUAUAAUCAUGUAUGUUCUUUAACACGUAUUUCAGGCAGCGUCAAUUAACUCGCACAUAAAAAUAUAAUCAAUACUUCAAUCAAUACUUGUAUUAAAAUCAUGUUCUUGAAAGGGACUAUGCACUCACUUGAAAAGGUGGUGAAUCCGAACUCAAACAGCGCUUUGCUUCUUAAAACUAAUUUCCUUUGACGAAACCUAGUAUUAUUACCACUAGAGUUUAGUCUAUUAUUUGCCGAGAUUAAUUAAUACUCUAGCUAUUAUUACUAUUAUAUAAGUGUUAAAAAAUACUUAUCAUACAUACUUAUAAAGCUAGCAUUUUUCCUUGAAUCUCAUGCAUUUGAAACCUCCAUAAAAAUUUUCCAACACCUCAUGCAUUUGAAACCCCCACACCCUUUCACCUUCAAAGUAAUGAAUCUCAUUCAUUUGAAACUUCCAAUACUAUUCAACUUAUAAGAUUUAAUUUGACUUUUGAAAUUCCCUUCACACAAAUGUAGUUAGCCUAUAAAUACUUACUUCCGUAGAAACAAAUAUCCUAAACCAAAACAAAAUACUUCUUUUGUCUAAUUAGUGAUCCUUUGUUCUCUGUUUUGGUAUAAAUGAAAGUCUUAUGUUGUCAGUAUAAUACUGAAGUUCAAUAAUCUAUAAUAAGCAAGGUAUGCAUUUUGUGUUUUUAAUCAAAACAAUUGGUUUUUUUGUUGGUUUGUUCUAAUAUUGUGUUUUUAAUCAUGAAUAAAAGUAGCUCUUAGGUUUGAGAACUUUCUAACAUCUAUUUUAAAAAUUAACAUAUGCAAUAUUUUAUUGAGCAUACAUGUACGAGCAAUUAUUUUUUGAAAGGCAAGGCUCUACACCAUCCAUUUCUUAUAAGUUUAUAUUAUUGGGGGUAAAAUUGAAUUGGUGAAUGGAGUAAUCAAGGGUGAGGAUUUAACUUCAUGUUUUCUAAUUCUAACUGCUUUAAAUGUGAUAUGCAUAAUUUAUUGAACUUAUUAAUAAACACUCUGAGAUUUAAUGAAUAUUUAAUUUGAAGAUUACCUCACAUUUUGAACAAUAUAAAGUUUUUGUGUUGAAGUUCAUAUUGAGAUGUAAAAAUUCACUUUAAUGAGCUGAUGAGUUUAUCGCUUUACGAGGAAAUUUGUAGUUUGUAAUGAGAUGAUGCAUUGAUGUUUUUAAAGAUGAUGCCAGAAACUUUACCCUUUACCGUUGUUAAUUGUUAUAGGUUUGUUGUACAAGUUGUAUCUCUUUGUUUUUAAUUCUAUUGUUGUUAUCUAUUCACAUGUUUCAUAUUCUUGAAAAUGAUCAACGCAAUGAUUUUCUUAGAUCAAUAUUAACAGAGUAAGGAGUCAAACACAUUAAUUGCAAUAAAAAAAUAAUUGGACUUUUAUGAAGAAACACAUAGCUCGAACAACCUACCUCCACAGCUUAAACCUACAAAAAAUUCUCAUUAACUAAUAAUAGAAAUAAUAAUAAAUGUUGAAACUAUAAAACAAACACCUAAUAAAAAAUAUCAAUGUCAAGAUUGUUAAAAUGUGUAUUUUUUUUUAGUUAUUCACUAAUCUUGGUUUUUAUUUUAUAAUAAAUGUCAUAUUAAUGUAAAAUAUUCAUUUGAAAGUUCCACAAACUCAUGAUCUUUCAAGUAAUUAACCAAACAUACUAGGUUUUUUUUAACUUAAUUAAAUCAUUCACUUUAACCUCCUUAAUCUGAUUUAUUUAAUACAUUAAAAUCAAUUAUUAGUCUAAGUUCAAACCAACUCUUCAUUUUUCAACCUAAUAUAUACAUAUAACUUAUUGGUUAAAAUAAAAAUGGUUUUAAAUCAUAACCAUAAAUCAAAAUAUCAUAAGACUAUUUUUCUAAUAGUUAAAAUUAUGUAUAUUUUUAAAUAUAAAACCUAAACAGAAAUGUAUAUUUAAUUAAACGUCAAUGUGAGACUAGCCCACUUAGUAGAAGUUUUUCUUUUAGAUUGAAGGUCUUGCGUUUUAAUCCGAACGCUGAUGAAUUUUAUUAACUUGGCCAUAGUAACUUCUAACAACUAAACACCCGUUAUAAAAAUCAAGAUUUUAAACAAUAUAAUUGCACACUGCGCAACACGCGGGAAUUCAUCCACUAUACUUAUAAAGGAAAUAUUUUUCAUUUCACCACAUUAAUUUGAAACUCUCAUCACUUAUCAAUUUCUUUUUAAUAAUGAUUAUAGGUUGGUUAAUAAGGUUAAAUAAAUAUCAAACCUAAAGUGUAAUCAUAUAUAAACUAAAUUUCAGUAUUAAAAAAAAUAUAUGUACUCCUACUUACAAAGUUAUAUUUUUAACUUUUAACAUAUUAUACUUAACCUAUUAGUUUUAAUAUGAUGUUCUAUGUAAACCUUUAUCAUUUUAAAGCUACAAAUUUUAAACAAUUUGUAUAAAAUACUUAAAUUGUUAAUUUAAAUAUAACAUUAUAAGUCAACUUAAAUAAUCCAAAGAAUAUUUUGUAAAUAGUUAAAAAUGAUAAAUUGCAGUGUAUUUCUAAUAAUGAUUAUAAGUUUGUUAAUAAGGUUCAAUAAAUAUCAAACAUAAAGUGUAAUCAUAAAUAAACUACAUUUUAAUAUUAAAAUAAUAUCUUUACUUCUAUUUAUAAAAUUAUGUCUUUAACUUUUAACAUAUUAUACUUAAUUUAUUAGAUUUAAUAUGUUGUUGUAUGUAACCAUUACAGUUUAAAACGACAACUUUUGAACAGUUUAGACAAAAUACUUAAAUUGUUAAUUUAAAUAUAACAUUACAGUGUCAACUUAAAUAUAAAUUUUAGUUUCACUUAAAACCCCAAAGAAUAUUUUGUGAAUAGUUAAAAGUGAUAAACUGUAGUGCUAAAUACAAAAACUAAACUGUAAUCCCAUUUUAACUAAAAUAUUUCCUAAAGAUACUUUUAUAAUCUAUAUCAUAUCAUACUAUACUUAUAAAGGAGACAUUUUUCCUAUCACCUCAUGUAUUUGAAACCCCCAUACAAAUUUCCAAGCACCUCAUGCAUUUGAAACCCCCACACAUUUUCACCUUCAAAGUAAUUAAUCACAAAUCUUGAAAGGUUUUAUAACUUAUAUAAUAUGUUUAAUUAGCAAUUAAUGGAUAGUCUCCAAUAAAAAUGUCAUUCUCUUUAUGUAGACACACAAAUACAAAUCACAUACAAAAUUCACAAAGAAAACAAGAUUAAACGUUUUGUGUUGGUUUGAGGGUUUUGAACCAUUUUUUGAGUCAUGUUAUUAUGUUAAAGUUUUUAAUUUGUAAGUUUGUUAUGUACUAAUUCUUUUUUUUUAUAUUUUUCUUGGUUUAGUUAUUCUUUAAAACAAUCAUUUUAUGUUGUGGUUGAAACUUUAAUGUAAAUUAGAUUAGAUUCAUAUUAUCGAUCAUAUGUUAUGAAAAGUGAUAUAGAUAAUAUUUAAUUAAAUAUUGUAUAUAUGUUUUUAUGUUUGUGUUGCUUCAAAGUAAUAAUUAAUAAAAAAUCAUAGAUACAUAAUAUCCAUGUAGGUCUCUUUAAAAUAUAAAUUAUCUAUCUUAUCACUUUAUAUUUUAGUAUACGUUUAACAUUUUAAUUAUAAUAAAAAGCGUCUUUUAAAAGUUUUCUUUAGUUUAUUAAUAAUAAUAAAUGGUUUUAAAACUAAUGAACUAUAACUAUAAAUAAUAAAAUCAAAUUAUAAAAAUCAUGGAUAUGUCAUAUUAUCCAUGCAAAUCUCUUUUGAAAUGCAAAUUUUCUAUCUUAUUACUUUAUUAUUUACUGUAUGUUUCACAUUUUAAUAGUAAUAUUAAGAGUUUCUUAAAAGUCUUUUUUAACUUAUUAAUAAUAAUAAGUGGUUUAAAACUAAAGAACACUAACUUUAAAUGAUAAUAACAUCAAUUUAUAAAUUACAUAACGUUAACAACAAAUAAGUUGUAUUUUAAAUGAACAUUAUUAUUGAAAUUAGAAAAUAGCGCAUAAUUAAAAAUUUAAAUUAAUCAAUCAUAAAAAUUGAUAAAAAUAAUAUUAAAUAGAUAAUUAUAUUUAAUUCUAUUAAUGAGGAUUGUAGAUUGAUGUCAAUGAAAAUAUUGUUCAAAAUAUUAUGUCAAAGUUAAUGUCAAUAAUAUAACUAUUUUAAACAUAUAUUUUUCAACAUUUUAACAAUAUAUUUUUAACCUACGCUGCGCUACGCGUGGGAAUUAGUCUAGUAUAACCCAUAAUAAUAGCUCAAUUACUUAUUAUAAGUUCCUAAUAACGUUACUAUAAUUAAAUAAACGAUAUAUUAAAAAUAGCGUAAGCGUAGCUCACUUACAGCGAGUUUUAUAGAAACCCGGUCUUUGCUUGGAGCAGCGUUCCCGAGCCGAAAAGCUCUUCUUCUCGGAGCCGUCGAGCACUCUGGGGCUUCUGCCUCGUGCUAGGGAGGUUCCCUAGCCUUUUCGGGGGGUUUCGGGGCUAGAGAGAGGUUCUAGAGAGAGAGUAAAAAGAAGAAAGAAUGAGAAAGGUGUGAAGAAAAUGAGGGUGGGAGAGGUUCUAUUUAUAGGGUGAAAAUGGAUGAACUUAGUGCCACAUGUCACCAUCUAGUGGCAAGACUUGGUGAGAAAACAAUGACCAAGAUUGUGCCACAUCACCCAUUUUCGCACAGCACACUUCCGACUUCUAAAAUCCGUAACUUUCACAUACGACCUCCGUUUUUGACGUUCUUUAUAUCCACGCGUAGGUAAAAAUAAGAUCUANNNNNNNNNNNNNNNNNNNNNNNNNNNNNNNNNNNNNNNNNNNNNNNNNNNNNNNNNNNNNNNNNNNNNNNNNNNNNNNNNNNNNNNNNNNNNNNNNNNNNNNNNNNNNNNNNNNNNNNUCGUGUAGGCCAAAAACCGCUCGAACUAAAAUUCGAGUUUUGGGUCGUGCACUGAUAUGCCAAAUCUUAGAAAAUUCUAAACUUCCUCAUACGAAGUCAGAUUUGGCCAUUCUUUUUUUGUAUGUUCUUGGUUUAACAUAUACUACAUAUUUUAUUUGGAUCGAUAAGGAUAAAAAGUCCUUUAUAAAAAAUUCAGUAUUUACAUCUCCCGGUAUCGUGCCGGUUUUGCCGUAAAACUUCAACGGGCCAUAACUUCUUCGUUAUAACUCGAAUUUCGGCGUUCUUUAUAUGUACAGAACCCUUGAGACAUAUUAUAAAACUUGGUUAAGAUUAUUUAUUAUAAAUAAUCUUUUGUAAAAAAAUCGUUUUCGACCCCUAUUAUCUCUAAAUUGACUAACCCGUAUCUACGGAUGUUACAGUUUGAGAUGAAAAACAAGGAAUCAAGCAUCUUUAUUUAUAGUGAUGGUGCGCACCAGAAACUCUCAUGAAUGGUGUGCACUUGCUUCGUGGCCCAUCCAAAUCUUGCUACGUGUCACCCUUCUGAUGGUCCAUGUUUCCAUAUCUCCGACGAAUCUAAGGUCAGAUGUGCACGACAGGCAUGACGCGCACCCUUAAAUCCUUUUUAAAAAUUUAUACUUUAUUCAUAUGAACUUUGUUUCUUACUCUCUUUAUAUAUUUGUGUAGCUCUUUCCUAUAACUACAACUUUCCUUUAGGUUGCAUCUUCUUUUGGGGAACAACUGUUGGAGGCUUCCUUUUUGCCUUUCUCUUGUACAGGGGUCAGCUUGGUCCUUCCUUUUUGAUUUUCCCCAUUUUCUUCCAAAUUCCCUGGCCUUAAUCAUGCCAUCUAGGACUUUGGUUUCCCUAAAAUGGAACACUAGCUGCUUAGUUUCCUCGAAGGUGUGGGGCGUGUAUGCUUAUAUCUGCUUCCUAACAUGAGGUGUUAGUCCAUGAAGAUAUGCACUAAUUUUCUUGCUCUUAGAGCCAAUCAGUUCUAAGCAUAUUGUGGCUAGGUCCUCAAGGUGUAACGUCGGUGUGUCUCAGCGGAACCCUCCAGUUCUGUAUCGUUGGACCCUACGGUCCGGUCUGUAUUGUUGGACCCUCCGGUCCGGUCUAUAUCGUUGGACCCUCCAGUCCGGUCUAUAAACUUCGCAUAACAUAAAUCACAAAGACAUAAUGCAUAGCAUUUCACAUAUAACAUAAUACUCAAUGUAAGCACAUAAGACCCUUUGGUCACACAUAACUACCACUCGAGGUAACAUAUAGUGAGAAAACUCACCCGGUACUGCCGACUGAAGAACAGUCCACGCUGCUUCGACCAGCGUCACGAACUCCACCACUGAAUCACCAAAACCAAUAAUUACCAAUAACAACCAAAAUACUCCUAGAAGUCAACUGGUCAACUCUUGGUCAAAGUCAAAGUCCUCAUUCAACGUCAACCCUCCUGGUUGACCCUACUCGCCGAGUCCACCCGUCGACUCGUCAAGUCCCCAUGCUCAGAACUUCCCCAAUCCGCGACUCAACUCGCCGAGUCCCACAACUCUGAGUCCCCUCGCACUUAACUCACCGAGUCCUCCCUUGACUCACCGAUUCACGGCUCAACCAAAAGAAGGUUAGGACCUCACGAACAGACUCGCUGAGUCCAAGAACAGACUCGUCGAGUCCAAGGCUAUCUUCAACCAACUCGCCGAGUCGUUCUUCCAACUCGCCGAGUUCCUGCCCAUCUUCAAGAAACUCGCCGAGUACACCUUUUUGACUCUCCGAGUAUCUCUAGAUCUUAAUCCAUACAGAAGCUUUCCAGGCCAUGCAAAUGAUCCAAACCAUAGAUCUACCCUUCUACAACCCAUCCAUCACGUAAAGUGGCAAACUUUACGUGAAUCCAAAGAGAUAUAAGCAUAUAACACUCCAGGGUUAGGGUUUGGGACAAGAUGGCUUCACCAAUCACUCAAGAACAACGACUUUAAUGCACUCUAGGCCUUCUCCAUUCCAGAUCUGAGGUAGCAACCUCAGAUCUAACCUCCAACUCAAAACACCACAUGCUAUCUUUUCCAAAAAAAACUUCAAAAUGAAGAAUAAAAGCCCAAGAAACGAAAUGAUACCUCAAAAGGAAACUCCAACAAAAGAGAAAUCUGAAUCCUAGCAAAGCCCCUUGCUCCAAGCCUCUUAACUCUCCAAGAUCUCUUCCAAAAUCUCUUCUCCAAGGUUCAAAUGAUCUCAAACCACUCACAAACGCUCCCUAGGGUUUUCUGGACUUCAAGAGAGGGUAAAGAGGCUNUCUUUUCUGGUUGAUGUCCUUUAUAUAGGGCUCAUCCUCCGAAAUUAGGGUUUUCUCCACACAGCACCAACUCGCCGAGUUGGCACUUAACACGCGACCAGAAUCGCGACCCUACUUGCCGAGUCCACCCAUGGACUCGCCGAGUUGCUCUUUCACAUUUACACUUUGAACCCUGAACUUGCACUCCUGAACUUGGGAUGUUACAAUUCUCCCCCACAAAAAUUAGGCUUCCUCCUCAAAGCCUGCGGCACUCAACUCUAAAACUACUCUCGCAAUGCACCUCCUGGCAUUAACCAGACCAGGUUCCUUCAAACAUUGUUACCAAACCCCUAUAAGGUCUAACUCCUUCUCACAGAGUCGCAACAAUCGAAUAAAGCCGGCUAUCGGCUUCUUUCUUUGAUUACAACCCUUAUUAGCCAAAUGAUCACCUGAUGAUACUUUCAUCACUCCAAAUCACAACAAUCAUUAAGCCCUUACCAAGCUAGAUAUCACCUGAACCACCGGAUCCUGACCCGGUGCCGAUUGCUGGGACUUAUCCCAUUUCCUUUCGGAAUCUAACUAUUUUCCUUCCGUGUUGACAGGAUGACACACCCUGCAGCCCUUGAGCAACUCCCAUGAGCUCUCCAUUGAAAUCGCAUACACAUGUUGAGCCUGCUCUACAUCCUCGGUUUGGAAAAACCCGACACACUGACGAUACCAUCAGACAUCCCCAGGAUGAAUUACCACUAUAAACAAAACCUCCAGAUCACAACCAUACUUAAAUCAAGGCUCUAGCCUUGCAUCUCCUUCCGAACUCCUCUGGUUCUAAACCACCGGAGAUUCUUCCGCAACCUCAACAGACACCCAACCCGGAUGUGCUUCCAUAGCACUGGCACAGAAACAGUGUUCAACCACCAUACUCCAAAUCAUCCAUUCUCACUACUGCUUUCACUUCCGUGAACCAACACUCCCUCCCGGAGUUACAUACCUUUCUCUUUCCUUACCCAAGGAAAUCUACUUGUCAACCUUGCCACUUCAGACAAGUGCCACGGUGCUCACACCCCACUCUACACUAUCCCUCGUAGGGUAACCGCUACUCCAUGUGUCGCACAUGCUCUGAAUCUGCUCGCAAGGACUCUCGGGUCCAUGCAUUACCUCUCCCCAGCAACUGGGGGUCCGACACCUCCUCCUAUACAACAGCUCAAAAGGUGGCAUACCAAUGCUCGAAUGAUGGCUAUUGUAUAGAAAACUCAGCCAAGAGUAAAUACGUGUCCCAACUCCCUCCGAAUUUAAUACACAUGCCCGAAGCAUGUCCUCGAGCGUCUGAAUCGUCCGAUCGCUCUGAAGUGUCCUCAGAUAUCACCAUGAUAAAAUCUAGCUCAUUUCUCAUAUCCCACUUCGAUACUGAGCACCAGUUCAGCUUUUGACUCCACAGCUGAACCCCCAAAGAUCACCUAUAACGUGAUCCAAAAUAUCUCACUAGCUUCCUCCCCGUGACCACAAUCCCGGCCUAGUGACUCACAAGUCACGAAAUUCUCUUUUCCUCAUAUGAAAAAUACAAUCCAACCGAGGAUCGACUCAACUCUGACCCCCAGUUUCGCCCUUGGUUCAACCACCAGGCUCCAAAACUCUAUACUAAGGCUGCUCAAGCCUAAAAUUCUUCUGCAUCAAACACUGAUAGGGGAACACCCCAACAUCACACUCUAUUUUUGUCUAGUGAGUAUUAUGGAUCCCUGCAAUAACACGACGGCUUCUGACUAGUGAGUGCUACGGCUCCCCGUAGCACCACAACACCAACUGUCAAGUGGGUACUACGGCUCCCCGUAAUACCACGACUCCCUCUCUCUGACUUGUGAAUACUACGGCUCCCCGUAGAAUCACAACACCCUCUGACUAGUGAAUACCACGGAUCCACGUAGCUUCACCCCAAACUCUCAACUCAUCCCAACGCCACACUAUGUCCACGCAUUCAUGCCCGUAGACUAUCAUAGAUAGCUACACACACUUGUCCCACAUAUGCAUCACAGACUCUGACGGCAACCACUAUAACAAAAUUACUUACCUCUGCGGAGAUCGAUCUUCUAAAAUAAUCCCUCUUGCUGUCAAUACUCGAAGGGCUCCCGCUAGAACUGUAGAUACAUGAUAUACCAUUGGUCGUCUCAAACUCAAGGCUCUAAAUAACUCUGAAAUCGGGACAUUAUUCCCGGUCACCACGGAUCACCAUUACGGACAUCACGAUAUCCUGCCUCAAACACUGUUCUCCUACUCCCAGCACCAUAUAGAUACAACAAUUCAUUUCCUCUGAACUCCAUAAAUAAUUCUCCGUUACCCAAUGUGCAAACCUUAGAGUACCCAAACACUCAAUUGGAAACAAAGAAAGCGCUAACACUUCAGAAUAUGCUAAUGAUCCUCCGAAAACCUUUUCCCUACUGCUCAAAAUCCAUGCAAGAAAUACACACACCGGCCCGGAAAUUGGCCGCUCGAUAAUCCCCUGUCCAUCCAAAAAGGGACAUAUGCAAUCCAUACUUCGACCCAGAAGUUUUUAACUGCCCGUACCACCAUUACGAGUCUUCCCCUUGAAACGACCCUGGUCACCACUAGAUUCCUGUAUCCAACCCCUAACCUCUCUUGCACAAUCUCUGGCUCCCUCAAUAGAAUACCCGGUUCUCCCCCACUUAGGGUUUGAACCAACACCAAUUGACACACAACCAUCCCACAGACUGUUUCCACUAGCAAUAUUGCACCUGCCCUUGGAAGGUGCCACACGUCGUCCAAUGAUCUCCCCCACUUAGAGAUCAAGAAACUUCAAAUACCCUAAAUCUUUGAAGAAAUCCUUGGGGACUUCUCAUCGCGACUGUCUCUAGCCAUUCAAAGGCUCAUACCAUCCCAAUACCGAAUACCUCAACUGUCCAGUAAGAUCACUGAUUCUUAGACUGAAACCAUAAUUCAGCGUACUCCUCGCCCUCGACUACUCCACCCAAUUUCCAUCACUUGAAUCCUCACAAGAACUGGGACUCCACUCCCAUACUCAAUAUCCAUCAUAGACAGAAGAGCUGCCGCCCUGAUAUACUCAACUGGAUUGCCCACUGAUACUACUACCACAUGCCCUACUAUACUCAAAUAGGGUGCAACGUGGUCCUUGACCACCUCAGUCCCAACCGACUACAUGCUCACGAUAUAUCCUUACCUCGCGGCAGACAUGCUGCCUGAUAUAUUGGAGGAAAAUCGACAUAAAUGUCAAUCCGCAGGGUUUUACUCGUAAACCCCAAAACCGAAAUCUCACACCUCUUAUGUUUCUCACUAGAAACGGAAAUAGCACCACUUAGAUCACAGAAGGUGACAUCUCUUCUAUCGGCUGGUUGCUCAACUCAGGUUGUAAUCCUCUAUAACUGCCAUCUCUACUCCUUCCUGAGUCUUGUGACUCCAAUUGGCAUCUCAUCAACAAUCCCUCGGGGCUAACUCGAUUUCCUCAUUAAGGGAUACUUCACUAAAACUCGUCCAUCAUGGCCCUCUAGCCCCAUACUCUUUCACCUCCGAUCUCGGUCUAACCAAUCACCACGGGUAACUGGUAGAACCAAUAACACUAACUGUCACGGGUCAUGGUACUCGAACCACGACAUCACCUAUCGAUCUGAUGCAAAUCAUGGUAUUCAAACCAUGGAAUCACCUCUCAAUCAGCUAUCAAUCAUGGAACCCGAUCCAUGACAUUACUCCCCAAUCUGCUCUGAUGUAUGGUACUCGAACCAUAACAUCACUCCUUAGUCUGCCACUUAGAACCUUCAAAAUACUCCCUGUAUCGAGUAUGGGUCAUCUGCUUUCGGUAGUACGGGCCUAUACUACCUGCCACAUCUACCCAUACUUUCCACACAGACCAUUCCAGAGUCCCUAAGUAGCUGCUCAACCUUCUCGUUCACUAAUUCUGCCACGCGUGCUUACUCCUCAGCGAAAUGCUCUACUCUGCCAGCGUACUCAUUUGGCUAGGGUCACUCCCACUUCUCCACCAUCAGCUGCUGAAGAGCUCCUAAUGAUGCUAGCCAUCUACCUCCUGAAUAUCGUCAUAUUCACUUGGAAGAUGACUCCCAUCAUUGAGAGUUCCACAAAGCACGAAGCAAGCAGCAUUCGGGCAUCGAAGAAUACAUAGAACUCACCCUGGGUGAUGACUCCGCCUGCUCUGCUCAUUCUCAAAAGCACCACUGAACUCUGCAACUCUACCCCUCGCGGGUUCUAACUAUUCUUUCGAUAAGCACCACAAUACUCAUCUAGGCGUCUCUCCUAGGUUACUCCUCUACUCAAACCCCCUACGAGGAUUCCAACUGAAUACUCUCACUCAUACUCAAAAGCACAACACAUAUAACAGCAACUCCUAGGCUAAGGCAUCACAAAUCAGGCCACUCUAGUCCUAAGAUAUGAAAUACCUAGCCUGCCUCUAGCAUGCAUAAUAUCUUAGAAGAUGUAUCAUAAAUAUCUCAUAACACAAAAGUAAGGGUAUUUUGGGAAAUCACCGUUCGGGCUCUGGCUGAUUGUACACACUGCUCUUUCUCGCUUUCUCUUUGAACUCUUAUUCACUUUUAGAAUUUCAUUUCUUUGAAAACUUUUCUUACUUCCUCAGUUUGAGUUCAGAUUUACCCGAAGGUGCAUCCGAAUCCCUCAAACCAAGGCUCUGAUACCAACUUGUAACGCCGAAAUUUUUCAAAACAAAAUUUUCAUUUAAAAUUACUUUUCUCCUUAACACUUUUCAUAAAAAUCCCAUUUUGUUUAAAUUACAAUACAUGACUCUUUUGUUCAAUCAAUUAAUAAACCAGGAUCUUCAAAACAACCGCUUCCUCUGGUGUGUACAAUCGAGCCGGUGUCGUCCCGUGAUCCUAAGGAAACAUGAAACACAUAACACAAAACACUGUAAGCACGAAGCUUAGUGAGUUCCCCAAAAUACCACAUACAACAUAUACGCCACUCAAGGCUACAAUACGACCCUCCGGUCGGUGUGUCUCAGCGGAACCCUCCAGUUCCGUAUCGUUGGACCCUACGGUUCGGUCUGUAUCGUUGGACCCUCCAGUCCGGUCUAUAUCCUUGGACCCUCCGGUCCGGUCUAUAAACUUCGCAUUGCAUAAAUCACAAAGACAUAAUGCAUAGCAUAUCACAUAUAACAUAAUACUCAAUGUAAACAUAUAAGACCCUCUGGUCACACAUAACUACCACUCGAGGUAACGUAUAGUGAGAAGACUCACCUGCUACUGCCAACUGAAGAAUAGUCCACGCUGCUCCGACCAGCGUCAUGAACUCCACCACUGAAUCACCGAAACCAAUAAUUACCAAUAACAACCAAAAUACUCCUGGAAGUCAACUGGCCAACUAUUGGUCAAAGUCAAAGUCCUCAGUCAAAGUCAACCCUCCUGGUUGACCCUACUCGCCGAGUCAACCCAUCGACUCAUCGAGUCCCCAUGCUCAGAACUNAACUCGCCGAGUCACCCCGAGACUCGCCGAGUCCCACAACUCUGAGUCCCCUCGCACUCAACUCACCGAGUCCUCCCUUGACUCACCGAUUCAUGGCUCAACCAGAAGAAGGUUAGGACCUCACGACCAGACUCGCCGAGUCCAAGAACAGACUCGCCGAGUCCAAGGCUAUCUUCAACCAACUCGCCGAGUUGUUCUUCCAACUCGCCGAGUUCCUGCCCAUCUUCAAGCAACUCGCCGAGUACACCUUUGUGACUCGCCGAGUACCUCUAGAUCUUAAUCCAUACAGAAGCUUUCCAGGCCAUGCAAAUGAUCCAAACCAUAGAUCUACCCUUCUACAACCCAUCCAUCACGUAAAGUGGCAAACUUUACGUGAAUCCAAAGAGAUAUAAGCAUAUAACACUCCAUGGUUAGGGUUUGGGACAAGAUGGCUUCACCAAUCACUCAAGAGCAUGGACUUUAAUGCACUCUAGACCUUCUCCAUUCCAGAUCUGAGGUAGCAACCUCAGAUCUAACCUCCAACUCAAAACACCACAUGCUAUCUUUUCCAAAAAAACUUCAAAAUGAAGAAUAAAAGCCCAAGAAACGAAAUAAUACCUCAAAAGGAAACUCCAACAGAAGAGAAAUCCGAAUCCUAGCAAAGCCCCUUGCUCCAAGCCUCUUAACUCUCCAAGAUCUCUUCCAAAAUCUCUUCUCCAAGGUUCAAAUGAUCUCAAACCACUCACAAACGCUCCCUAGGGUUUUCUGGACUUCAAGAAAGGGUAAAGAGGCUAGGGAGAGGGUAUAAUGUCCUUUAUAUAGGGCUCAUCCUCCGAAAUUAGGGUUUUCUCCACACAGCACCAACUCGCCGAGUCCAACCGCCGACUCGUCGAGUUGGCACUUAACAUGCGACCAGAAUCGCGACCCUACUUGCCGAGUCCACCCAUGGACUCGCCGAGUUGCUCUUUCACAUUUACACUUUGAACCCUGAACUUGCACUCCUGAACUCGGGAUGUUACACAAGGCGUAUGAUGUAGAAGUCUAUACUAGACAUCCUAGUGCGUAACUGACUGAAUUCAUGUUCUACUCAGGUCAAAUCUCUCGUAGAACAAAAUUCUCUUAUCAUUUUCCUUUUCAACUCUUCCCAAGAGAUUGCAUAGGCUACAUCUACUCCCAAGGCGAUUACCUGGAUACUCCACCAGAUGAGGGCCUUCCCCAUGGUGCAAGUUGCAAAUUCUACCCUAAUCUCCUUAUUACACCUAAUCUCUAUUCCUUAGAUCCAGUGGAUUUACGCCAUUUACUCCUUCAUCUCCACAGAAGGACCCUGACAUACUACGAAGAAAAUCAUGGUAGGAGUGACUACUUUCCUUGUCACUUCCUUCUCCAUGGUCAACUCUGAGAUUCCCUAAUGCAUCAGAUACUUGAUGUUGGAUCAUGGUUUGGAUGGCGGUUGGGUUAAGUAUGGUUAGCAUAGUGUUGGAAUAGUGUCUAAGGCUGCAACUAUAUUAGGCAAGUAUUUGACCCGGUUGUGCAUGGUCCUUUUGGGUUUCCUUCACCAUAGCAACUUGACAUGAUGAUUUAUUAUGAGAGAAGAAAUAUUAUUAAUAUAUUAUGAGAAUAAUAUAAUGAAUAAUAAUAUUAUUAUUUGAUUAAUAUAAUUCAUAAAUUAAUUAGGAAUUAAUUUGGUGGCGUAAAGAGAUUAAUUGAAUAAAGGGGCAUAAACUGUCAAUUGUUUGAUAGUUGCACUCUGGGCUAUAAAUCCCUUAUGGAUAAGGGGGGACGAUUUUGGGGCUUAGGAUAGCCAUAGAAAUCGUCCAAAGGCUUAUCAAUUAGGGUAUUGGAUUGCUUAGGGCCUAAGUUAUCCAAUUAGGGUUUAAGGGUGAAACCCUAGGAGCCUUACAAGUAUAAAUAGACCCCAAGGGUUAAGGAAAUCGGUACUUGUGCUUUAGAAGGAACCCCUGGCCGAUUUUGAUCCCCUCCCCUCUCUCUCAAAUCAUCCUCUUGCUAGAUGGUGUUUGUAAGCCAUUAGAGGAGUGACAAUUGUGACUCUAAAGCUCCAAGGACAAGAAGAUCAAGCAAGUGAUUCAAGGUAAACUUCUAAUUCUGAUUUCUUAUUGUUAUUAUACUCUAUUAGCCAUUAGAAGUCUUGGAUUCAAUGCAUGUUCAAUUAGAGAAACCUAGAUCCAAGCAUUAGGGUUUGCAUGUGCACAUAGGAAUGUUCAUAUGGCUAAAACCCAUCAGUGGUAUCAGAGCCUAGAUUGGUUUCUAUUGAAUUGAUGCAUUGGUUGCUUGUUUGUUGCUUGCAAAAUUCGAAUUUUGUCAUUCUGCCUGAUGAACUCGGCGAGUCCCAUAGUGGACUCGGCGAGUAGGCUCAACUCGGCGAGUCCAUUGUGGUACUCGGCGAGUUCGAGCGUCAGAAAGAGCUAAUUUCGGGAUUUCUUGCUGUUUAUCUUUUAGAUACUUACCUUAAUCAUAUUAGGUCAAUAUAAAUCCAAUUUUAUGAUAUAUUUGAGUAUAUUCUUGACCUAAUUGAAGAUAUUUAUCAAUUAAUAAAAUAUUUAUUUCCUUAUGUGAUAAUUGAUUAAUUAUUUUAAUUAAAUUGGUAAAUUGUUUUGCAAGAAAUCAUUAAAUAAAUCAAAUAUGGAUAAUUAUGUGAUUAAAUGUUAAUUUAGAUUAUUUGUUAUUUGAUCCCCUAUGUUUUGAAAAGUUUAAAACUUGCCCUCAAGUUUUGAAAUUUAUGUUUUGUGAUUAAAAGUUUAAUUUAGACAAUUUAAAUUUCAAACCCUAGAAUUUUACAAGUUUAAAAUUCAACCCUAUACUAAUAUAAUAUUACAAGAUUAAUAUAUAUAUAUAUAUAUAAUUAAAAAUGCUAGUCUUACCGUUAGUAGGCCUCAUUCACGAAGCCGGUCUAUAAGGUGGGUAUAAGGUUGCGGCCUAUAAAAUGGCGCUUAAUGGGUGUACACUCACACCCACCGCUUGCUUGAUCGGUGGAGGGUCGUUAGCCGAACGGGUAGGAUAGGGCAACCUCAUCCUCUCAUUAAAAGUAUAAUAUGAAAUACAAAGUAACUACAUGUUUUUCAAAAUUCCCAAUCCUAGUUACUUUAGGAAAAGUGAAUUGAUGCAAUCCCAUGAAAUUACACUUUGCACCCUUGCUAAGAAGUUAGUGGAGCGUGUGUGGUUUACCGGCACACUAAUUGGUUCUAAGCAAAGGUGGCAAAGGGUGAUUCAUUGUUUAUCAUAGUUCGAUGGAGCGUGUGUGGUUUACCGGCACAUCGAAUAGGUGAUCGUUACAAUGAAGGCACCAUGUGAAUUUGCAUGGUAAUUCACACCCGCUUUGUGAUCCUCGGUAUCCCAGUCACAAACAAGAGGGGCAUAUCGAGAUUUAAACAUGCCAUUGAAUAGUUUCAAUGAAUCUCAUCCGAACCUAGGAAUUCUCAAUACAUUUAGGACUUAAAGUUAUGUUUUUAUGGUGGAGAAUUAGUGAAUCGUCAUUCACUUACCUUCAAAUUAUUUGCAUGUUGGAUUACGGCAUCCCUUUUCUAGUAUGUAAAUGUUAUUGUUGGAUCCUAGCCCUAAUUUUUCUUAUUGGGUGAUAAUUAGGGAUUCUUAUUCUAAUCUAUCUUUGUCCUUUCUAUUUGUAGAUGUCGAACGCAAACAACGCUGCUGCUAGUUCUUUCACGUUGAUGAGCCUUUGCCAAAAGGUCACCUUCGAUGGAACGAACUUUAGCGAAUGGAUAAGAUACAUUCGCACCAUUGCUCGCUAUGAGGAUAAGGAGUAUGUCCUCGAUGAGAAGCUCGAGAAAAUCAACCCCGAAAUCGCUACUCCGGCUGAAAUCACCGCUUUUGAAACUCAUGAGCGAGAUGCAACGAAGGUACAUUGCAUCAUGAUAGCCACCAUGAACUCCGAAUUCCAAAAGUCCUACGAGGACAUGUACCCGUACGAGAUGCAUCAAGACUUAUUGGAGAGAUACCACCAAAACGCGAGACAAGAGCGUUAUGAGAUUUUCACUAACAUGAUUUCCGCUAAGAUGGGUCAUGGAGAAUCUCUUACCGUGCACCUGCAAAAGAUGCAAAGGUAUGUCGACCGCCUUCGCAAGUUAAAUGUUGACUUUGGGGAAGACUUGGCGAUCGACAUGGUGCUUCACUCUUUGCCUCCGAUGUACAAUCAAUUUAGGAUGACCUACCACAUGAACAAAGAGGAGGUCACCCUAAGCAAACUCCAAGGUCUCUUGAGGGUCGCUGAGAGCAACUUCAAAGACAAGUCUGUUGCACCAACUCCCAAUCCACCCGCUGCUCCUGUCUUGGCUAUUGGUCAAGGAAAGGGAAAGAAGAGGAAGGCUUCGUCUAAGAACUAUCGCAAGGUUAAAGCCCGAGAUGGUGCCUCUUCUAGUGGGACCAAAGUUGAUCCCGCUAAGCCCUGCCCUAACCCUAAGGAGGCAGAGUGCCACCACUGCCACAAGAUAGGACAUUGGAAGAGAAGCUGCCCAGAGUACCUGCAAGCAAUCAAAGAAGGAAAGAUCAAGCCAUCUUUCGCAGGUAUAUACACAAUUAAAUCUAACGAUUCUAAUCAUGCUAUUUCUUGGGUUCUUGAUACCGGUUGUGGUUAUCACAUUUGUUCUAAUGUGCAGGGACUAAGAAGAAGUAGGGAUGUGGAGCAAGGAAGGAUCAAUCUAAUCAUGGGGAACAGAAGAUCGUCGCCUGUGACCAAGAUUGGAGUGUAUUCUUUAGUGCUUAGGAAUAAUUUAUGUUUAGAUUUGAACAAUUGUUGCUAUUCGCCAGAAAUGGCUAGAAACAUCAUUUCAUUUCAUGGUUUAUAUAGACAAGGUUUUAGAUUUUCUUUUAAUAAUGAGAAUGGUUCUAUUUUGGCUUAUCUAAAUGGUGUCUUUUACUUUGAAGCUAUACCAUGUAAUGGAAUUUAUGAAACUGUUAUGAUUGUUGAUAACUUAGGAAAUGAUGUUUUGAACAUAGAUUCUUCCACUAGUAUGGAUAAAGCAUCCUUGUGGCAUUGUCGUCUUGGACAUGUCAACAAGAAACGCAUAGCCCAACUCCAAAAGGAUGGAGUGUUGGAGUCAUUCGACCUUAGGGAAGAUGACACAUGCGAGUCUUGUUUGCUUGGAAAGAUGACUAAGUCACCCUUCACGAGUACAUGUGAAAGGGGCGAGGGUCUAUUGGACCUAAUACAUACCGAUGUAUGUGGACCGUUUAGAUCAACCACGAAGGAUGGGAACCGCUUCUAUGUGACUUUUACCGAUGACUAUAGUAGAUAUGGGUAUAUCUACUUAAUCAAGCAAAAGUCAGACACCUUUGAAAAGUUCAAAGAGUUCAAGAAUGAAGUGGAGAAUCAAUUGGGCAGGAAAAUCAAGAUGCUUCGAUCCGAUCGAGGAGGAGAGUACCUAAGUCUUGAAUUCCACGAUUAUCUCAAGGAGUGUGGAAUAGUUUCACAAUUGACGCCUCCUAGGACACCGCAGUUGAAUGGUGUGGCAGAAAGGCGUAAUCGAACCUUAUUGGAUAUGGUUCGCUCUAUGAUGAGUCGUGCUUCACUACCUAUCUCUUUUUGGGGGUAUGCCUUAGAGACUGCCGCCCAUAUCCUUAACCGAGUCCCUACUAAGAAGGUUGCCAAAACACCUCACGAGAUGUGGACAGGGAAAGCUCCCUCGUUGGCACAUAUCAAGGUUUGGGGUUGCGAGGCUUUCGUAAGACGAGAUACUCACGACAAGCUUGAACCUCGAAGUGAGCGAUGUAUUUUCAUCGGCUACCCGCAGACAUCCUUUGGAUAUCUCUUCUAUAGACCGAAGGACAAUGUUGUCUUCGUUGCGAGGAGAGGAGUUUUCCGAGAGCGAGAACUCAUAAGCCAAGGAGACAGUGGGAGGCAAAUCGAACUUGAAGAGAUUCAAGAGUCGAUAGAUGAAGGAACCUCUACCGCUGGCACUCAACCCGAGGAGGAAACUCCGGUUGAACCGAUUGACGAAUCCUUACCUCUUAGACGUUCCGAUAGAGUUAGAGUUCUACCCCAGUUUUAUGGUUUUCAUAUUACUACCGAAGGGGACACGUAUAUUAGUGAUGGUACACUAGUAAAUCUUGAUGAACCUAAUAGCUAUAAGGAAGCCAUGGCAGGCCCGGAGUCUGCAAAAUGGAAAGAGGCAAUGGAUAGCGAGAUCCAAUCCAUGUAUGAUAACCAAGUUUGGAAUUUGGUUGAUUAUGUGCCCGGACGUAAGACCGUUGGGUGCAAAUGGAUCUUCAAGAAGAAGACCGACGUGGAUGGAAACGUACACACAUAUAAAGCGCGAUUGGUUGCGAAGGGCUUUACUCAAACUCCCGGAGUUGACUAUGAUGAGACCUUCUCACCAGUUGCGAAGAUUAAAUCUAUUAGAGUGAUGCUAGCAAUUGCCGCAUUUCAUGAUUAUGAGAUUUGGCAAAUGGAUGUCAAGACCGCUUUCCUUAACGGAAAGUUGGCUGAGGAUGUUUACAUGGCUCAGCCAGAGGGGUUUGUCGAUCCGAAGCAUCCGAAUAGAGUGUGUAAGCUUGAGAAGUCCAUUUAUGGACUUAAGCAAGCGUCUCGCAGAUGGAAUCUUUGCUUCGAUGAGAAAGUCAAAGAGUUUGGGUUUGUAUGAAGUGAAGAUGAAUCAUGUGUAUAUGUCAAAGCCAGUGGGAGUAUAGUAAGCUUCCUCGUUCUGUAUGUCGAUGACAUAUUACUCAUAGGAAACGACAUCCCGACUCUGCAGGAGGUUAAGUCCUGGCUCGGGAAGUGCUUCGCUAUGAAGGACCUCGGAGAGGCUUCCUAUAUUUUGGGAAUAAGGAUAGUGAGAGAACGAAGUAAGAGACUAAUAAGACUUAGUUAGAACACUUACUUAGAUAAAGUACUAAAAAGUUUUAGUAUGGAAAACUCGAAGAAGGGAGAAUUACCGAUACAAAGUAAUGCCAAGUUGAGUAAGACUCAAAGUCCGAGUACCGAAGCUGAAAUAGCAGAAAUGAGCCGAGUACCAUACGCUUCCGCAGUUGGCUCAAUCAUGUACGCUAUGACUUGUACUCGCCCUGAUGUAGCCUUUGCUUUGAGCAUGGUUAGCAGAUAUCAAGGGAAUCCUGGCAGAGCACAUUGGAUUGCGGUGAAGAAUAUCCUUAAGUACCUUCGGAGGACGAAGGAAUGGUUCUUAGUCCUCGGAGGGAUUGAUGACUUGAAGGUGCGAGGGUAUAGUGACGCCAACUUUCAGACCGACAGGGACAAUUACCGUUCGCAGUAGGGCUGGGUCCUUACCCCGAAUGGAGGAGCAGUAACUUGGAAAAGUUCCAAACAGGAAACGGUAGCUAAUUCAACGUGUGAGUUAGAGUACAUUGCAGCGAGCGAAGUGUCAAAGGAGGCAAUAUGGUUAAAGAACUUCAUCGGUGAUCUUGGAGUUGUACCUGUCAUAAAGAAGCCCAUGGAGAUUUUUCUGUGAUAACGAAGGAGCGGUUGCCUUGACCAAGGAACCGAGGGAUCAUGGUAGAUCAAGACAUAUCGACAGAAAAUAUCACUUCAUUAGACAUCGUGUAGAAGAAGGACAACUCGUAGUGAAGAGGAUAUCAUCAGAAGAUAACCCAGCAGAUCCGCUUACGAAGGGACUGAGUAGGGUUAAGCACUUGCAACAUGCUAGGAGUAUUGGGCUGAAGGAUGAUAUUAGUAUAGAUUAGAUAGUAGAAGAAACGUGUAAUAGAUAAAUGUAAUUAACAUUUGAUGAUUAAAUAAAAGAGUAUUAUUUAUGAGUAAUGUUACUGUCUUAUGUUAAUUGUUUAACUAUUGUUUCACUUUGCAUGUUUUGACUUCCAGAAUAAUUGAGUUUAUUAAGAAUAAUCGAAUUAUUCAAAUUGUCCACAAUCGUUCAUAUGUUGGAAGUAGAUAUGAAUGAAGAUUGUCAUGAAUUGGUGUGUAGAUUGUCUAAAUGGUGUUAGACAUAGCAAAGGGUUGCUGCAACGUUCAUGAGUGCUUAUGAACUAGUUUUGAGCAUUGGAACAAACCCGCGCUUGCUGGAAUCACCUUAUGGAAUAUGAUAUAAAAGGGUGAUCGCAAGACGAUAAUAUCAUAUAGUCUUAAAACCUAGAUAUAUGGUUUGUUAUUUGUUAAUUGAUUGUACAUUGAUAAUGCGAAAACGCAUCAGUAACUCGGUGUUAUAAAACGCAUUGUUGUGUAUAGUUGGUUAAUGAAUAAGUAAAUGCAUAUAAGUCGAAGUUUAUCUGUAACUUUUAUCUAAGAAGGUAAAAGCGAUAUCUCGGCCGCUCGAUGAUUUGAUUUGACUUAUGUGCCGGGCCCGGUCAGAACUGAAUUGAUGUGUUCGAUUAAGUUCUAUGUCAAAUAAAUCAGAGAUCGAGAAACCUAAAUGCUUGACUAACCAUUCCAUAGGAUUGUCAGCAUGAUAUCUAACAGAGGACUGUACGUUCCCUUAUCUAAAGGACAAGAUUGAUUAGAUCAGAGUUGACAGCGUCUUUGAGAGCUACGAUUGCAAACCGAAUUGUACUUGUAUAGUUACUAGACUUAUCCAAGUGGGAGACUGUUGGAAUAGUGUCUAAGGCUGUAACUAUAUUAGGCAAGUAUUUGACCCGGUUGUGCAUGGUCCUUUUGGGUUGCCUUCACCAUAGCAACUUGACAGGAUGAUUUAUUAUGAGAGAAGAAAUAUUAUUAAUAUAUUAUGAGAAUAAUAUAAGGAAUAAUAAUAUUAUUAUUUGAUUAAUAUAAGUCAUAAAUUAAUUAGGAAUUAAUUUGGUGGCGUAAAGAGAUUAAUUGAAUAAAGGGGCAUAAACUGUCAAUUGUUUGAUAGUUAAACUUUGGGCUAUAAAUCCCUUAUGGAUAAGGGGGGACGAUUUUGGGGCUUAGGAUAGCCAUAGAAAUCAUCCAAAGGCUUAUCAACUAGGGUAUUGGAUUGCUUAGGGCCUAAGUUAUCCAAUUAGGGUUUAAGGGUGAAACCCUAGGAGCCUUACAAGUAUAAAUAGACCCCAAGGGUUAAGGAAAUCGGUACUUGUGUUUUAGAAAGAAACCCUGGCCGAUUUUGAUCCCCUCUCCUCUCUCUCAAAUCAUCCUCUUGCUAGUUGGUGAUUGUAAGCCAUUAGAGGAGUGACAAUUGUGACUCUAAAGCUCCAAGGACAAGAAGAUCAAGCAAGUGAUUCAAGGUAAACUUCUAAUUCUGAUUUCUUGUUGUUUUCAUACUCUUUUAGCCAUUAUAAAUUUUGGAUUUAAUGUAUGUUCAAUUAGAGAAACCUAGAUCCAAGUAUUAGGGUUGCAUGUGCACAUAGGAAUGUUCAUAUGGCCAAAACCCAUCACAUAGCAGGGUUGUUCUCCUGAAACAACAAAUGAGAGGAUUAUUGGGUUUUACCUAAAGGUUCAAUCCUAUUUCUUAUUUAUAGCGUACUUAUAGUUGCUCUCUUAGCAACUUGUCUUCUUAUCACUUUUACUAUUAUUUUCUAAUUAGGAUUUUUGUAUUUUUAUUGUUGAUAUUACAUCUUUUGGUUGCGUUCCUUGCAACAUUUUGAUAAUAGCAUGCUAUUGUUUCUUCCCUAGAAACUUACCAAUUAUAGCAUGUUGUUGUUGCUUCCCUAGCAACUUAUUGUUACUUCCCUAGCAACUUACCAAUUAUAGCAUGUUGGUGUUGCUUUCCUAGCAACUUACUGUUGUUUCCCUAACAACUUACUGAUCAUAUCAUGUUGUCGUUGCUUUCCUAGCAACUUACUGUUGUUUCCCUAACAACUUAUUGAUCAUAGCAUGUUGUCGUUGCUUUCCUAGCAACAUACUGUUGUUUCCAUAACAACUUACUGAUCAUAGCAUGUUUUCAUUGCUUUCCUAGCAACUUAUUGUUGUUUCCCUAACAACUUACUGAUCAAAACAUGCUGCCGUUGCUUUCCUAUAUACUCAGUUUUGGGUUUAAUUCAUCUAAUGAUUCUCAAUUUGAUUUUUAAUUUUUUUUGAAUAUUUUGAACUAAAAAUUGGAAUUUGGAUGAAAUGUGAAGCAUAUACGUGUUCUAGAGGACUACCCGAACAUCCUUAAAUGAUUUUUAGGUUGAAAAUGGACGAAACAACAUGUUUCCAUGUCUGCUGUUCUUUGUGUUCUUGGGGCGCGCCGUAUAGAUUCAUUUGUAUCGCGUUCACUCACAUGCAAUGCGCAUUUGGCGCGUCUUCCCUACUUAAAUCCCCUCUUCAUUUUAAGUUAUCCUAACUUAAUUCUAACUGCUUCCUUGCCUUAUUUUGUUGCAGAUAUGUCGAGACAGGGUCGUUAAGUUGUGGGUCAGUUACCUCCUAACUGGUCGACACAUCCUUUCUUAAAGUUCCCUGAUGACCUUCCCGAUCGGAGUACUUUCAUUUCUCCCCUCAUUUCCCUUUUGUCCAAGAAGAUCAUCUUUCCUCAGUCUCUUCCUGGGAAUGUGGUGGAUAGCACUGGCUUGUCUGCUCAGCUAGCACCAUUCCAUACCUGAUCACUUCGGGAUGAUAGCGGUCUCGAGCUUUUUUUCUGCCACAGGUGGCGGCGAGUUAUCAGGAUUUGGGAGGUGAUCUACCAGGAGCUCUAUUGGGAGUUCUUUUUGACGGUCAACUACGACAAGGAAUCGAGGCUCUAGGCCGAUCAUUAAGUGUUUUCUUUUUGCCUAUGCAGCGUAUCCCACUCUUGCAGCCUCAUCGAGCCAGGGAGGCAUAUAGGAAUUUAAAUUAAUGAGGAGACUAUGAGUCCUCAUUUUAAUGCAUUUUUGGACAAUUGUAUCACUGCUCCUCCACAGGAGUAUGACUUUAUGCAGGUUUGGGCCCAUGCUUGGAGGACCUAUGUCUCCUCGUUGGCCAAGGAGAGCGCCUUCCGUUCUCCAAUCUACCAGUUGCUUCACCGACUGGUCACAUCCACCAUUUAUCACAGACAGGAGUGUGACAAGGUUCCUUCUUGCAACCUUUUCUAUAUGUGGUGCCUCACUUAGACGGAGGUUCGUCUUCACAUUUCUUUCUCCCUUACUCUUUACUAGUCUGUUAUGGCUUUAAGUUCCACAUCAUUGAGCAUGAUUUUCCGGUGUCACUGGGUUACUAGUUUAUCCCUAUCCUAAUGGGUUGAUACUGGUAGGAUGGUCCCUUAUAUUUAUCUGGGAGUUAGGUACUAUAGCUCUCGGGAAGAUGCGGGUCUGACUAGGAAGGCGGGUCAACCAAAACGGGUACCGGGGGAUGACAUCGUCGAGCUGAUUCAGCAAGUGGAGUUGGAGGUCAUUCCUGAGCCUACCCUUGUGAGCCGUUAGAUACCUAGGCAUGUGGAGCCUGAUCGUCCGGAGUCUACUCUUGGAGAUGAGAUGCGAGGCCUUACCUUUGCAUAGAAGGAACGCCAUUGGAUGAUGGCUUCGCUUGUCGCGGUAAUGCGACAUUUGGGGAUGGACCAUCCGCCCUAUCCUAGUGUGGAUCCCGUUGUACCACCCUCUUCUUAGCCACACAACACUGGUUACGAUGGUGCCGAUCCUUCAGGCACGCAUCCUGGAGACACCGAUGACGAUGACGACGAUGACGAAGAAGAGGAAACCGAGAUGGAGUCGGAGGGUAGUGAGGAGUAGAUUUGUGGGUUUUAUUUUGUAUUUUGAUACUUUAUGAUGUAUUCUGACAUAAUUUAUUUUGUUUGGGUUUGUAUAUAUAUAUAUAUAUAUAUUUAUGGUUUUUAUGUUUCAUUUGUCUAUCCCAAUCAGAGUAUUUGACCUAAGCUAUAGUCAUAAUUCCUAAAGAAAUAUUAAGUUGCUAUUCCCAAGGAAAUACUAAUCCGCUAUAGCUAAACCUAUGCUUUGAAACCAUCUCUAUCACACCUGCUACCCGGCCUUGGCGGAAACACUAAGCAAUGUGACGGUAUAAAGAACGUUAAUCCUAUUAACUUGAGAAUACAUGCAUUUUGAAAGUCAACAUAAUGUUGGUGAGUGCAUGACUAUUUAUUUUGAAUUUCUUUUAAGAAUAUUUUUCUUUUGUGAAAACCUUUCUUAUUUAUUUACCCAGCCAUCUACCUUUUUAGGGUAUCAUUUAUAAACCAUAAAUUACUAUCUUUUCAGGAUAUCUAACGAUCCUAACAUAUUUUAACUACCAUACCCGGCGUCCCUAAUGGUAAUAUAAGCUCUAAGACAAUUUGAAUAUAUUAACAUGAGCCCCUAUAAUCGACACUACGACCGUAAAUGUACCCCUAAUCACGACGCUUCAUUGGAGGUCGAAUAUUAACUUAUAUGGAAGGCAUCCUGUCGGGAUUGUAGCUAGCAAUCGCAGGUGGGGUUGUCAUGACCCCAUAUAGAUCUAUACAUAUCUUCUUAGCUCUCGCAAGAUUAAUGAUUAUAGAUAUUGGGGAUAUGCCGAAUUUAAUCAAGGAUUUUGGAUGAAUAACCAACUCACUAACGCAUUAACCCUAGGCUUUUAUCUUUAUCAUAAUUACCCCUAUACAUACAUACAUACAUACAUACAUACAUACUUACAUACUUAUAUAUAUAUAUAUAUAUAUAUAUAUAUAUAUAUAUAUAUAUAUAUACACACACACACACACACAUAUAUAUAAUAUNAGUCCAGUCUAUAUCGUUGGACCCUCCGGUCCGGUCUAUACAACACAUAGCAUACACAUAUCACAAUGCACAUGAUCUCAUAUAUAUAUAUAUAUACACACACCAUAAAAAUGGUUAUUUUAACAAAGAUAUUUAGGCAGCGUAACAACUAAGUACAAUGCAUAUCCUAAAUCUUGUUUAGCAUAACUCCUACGUAUUUAAGGUUUCCUAGGGAUUUGACCAUUAUAACAUCUAGGUAAUACCUACUCCUAGAUUAUCGGGCAUCAUAUCCUUUAGACACAGAUCAUAGCUUAAAUCUUGGCAUAGUAUUUACAGUUAUAUUAUCCUAAGACAUCUAACUUAUUAUAAAAUGACUUAAUAUUUAUAAAAUAAAUAUCUUUAUAUAAUCAUUUUGUUAAGUAUNUCUAGUAUGUAUAUAUAUAUAUAUAUAUAUAUAUAUAUAGAGAGAGAGAGAGAGAGAGAGAGAGAGAGAUAGGUUCAGGUGUUAAAAGUAAUUAUUGUGUGAUUGUAUGCAUAAAUGUGGGCCAAUCAAAAUUAAAUAAUUAAAUAAAUAAAUAAGGGUAAUUUAGUAAUUUGAUUAGUAACUUCCAAAAAUCAUCCCUAUAUUCAUGGUAUUGACUUUUAACCUAAUUUUCCAAGUUUAUAUUAAACUCAUUUUUUUCUUUAGUCGCUUAAUCUCCACCGAUUACAAGCCCUAGCCGAUGAUACAAAGUCGUCGCUACCAUCGUCCGCCCCAAACAUUUUAAUAUUGGCUUGAAUCCAGCAAUCCAGAAGAAACUCCGUUCAAACGACGAGAACCACAACGUAGAGAACACUAACGACACAUCAUGAUUCGAGAUUCGAGAUUUCUCCUCGUAGUACUGUUGGUAAUGCGAGAGAACACGAGCGAUCAAAUCACGGAGAUGUUCAUCAUCGGAGCUAUGAGCAGAAGUUCGUAAAUUCGCUCGAAGCUCAUCCAGGUAAUGUUCCUAGCGAACCAUCCAUCCUUGGAAAAAAUUCUCGAACUCUCUUUCACUUGUGACGACUGUUCUUCGAGAUUUGGGCGACAUUUUGAAAUCUUCGGAAUUUUUUUGAUUUGAGUGAUGGAAAUUUAUAUGAUUACGUUGGUUAUAUGUUUGGUGGAAUCUUCAACAAAAUUAUUGUUUAAUAAAAGUCACUGUGAUGACCAAUUAUCUGAAGCACACAUAUAUAAUCAACAAAAAUCAUUAUUUAGACAAACAUUAAUUUUUACACAGUUAUAAAUAUAACUGUGAACACAUUCUUAUCAAACCAUUUGGAAAACAUAAAUUUUAAUUAAAGAGAAUAGAGAAGACAAUGAUACAGUUAUGUAAUUAUCUCUUUUUAUAUUUCAAUUUCAAAUAAGAGAAUAUGUAUGCUUAUCAAAAUCGUAUACAUAUUUUAAUUAUGAUAUAUCAUGGAUUUUUUGAAACUAUUUAAGGUAAAUUUCUUUUUCUUCGUUAUUAUACCUUUUUACUUAAUCUUCAAAUGAGUUUUUUAAAUUUGAUUUGAUUUCAAUAUAUAGAAUGGAUGUUUGGGUUGAUUGUUUGACAGAAUGAUAUUUCUUCAUUUAUAGUAUUCUAUUAGAAAAGAAUGUUUUUUAUGAUAAUCAUGAAUAUAUUUUGUUAGAAUCCCCAAAGUAAUAUAAUUAUUGGUAAAUGAAUUCCAAUUCUAUCAAAAUGAAAUCAUGAAUUCCAAUUAUGUUGGAAUGGAAUAUGAAUAUUUUCUCACUAAUUUAUUCAUUGGAUUUGUUUCUACAGACGUUGAUGCUUGAAGAACGGACCACGGAAUUUGAACGACACCUCUUAGCAACAUUAUUCUUUUAGAAUGUAUUAGUGUCUUUGUUAGAUUUUGAUGUUUUUUUCCAUAUUUGAAUUUUUUUUAGUUUUAUUCUUUAAUAAUAAAUGUAAUUCUUAGCAAUUGUUACAUGUAUUCUAUAAGAAUUAAUGUAAUUUUUGUUUUAAUUCUUCAAUUGAUGGUUCGAGAAUUUUGUUAUUCUACAAGAAAUUUUUAAAGUCGUGAUCAAGAAAUAUGUUCAAGAAUAUUUUUAUUAUUUUAUGGUUCAAAAAUAUUUUUAUUUUUGAACAUAGUCAAACAUAUUCUGUCAGAAUGUCUGAAUUAAAAACCUAAGAAUUCAUGAAAUCAGAUUUUUUAAAAUUAAUAGAAUUUAUGAUCCCUUAAAAUAUGCGAAUUUUCUUUAUUAAAUCUAUAUUAAUUGACUGAAAUACCCUUAUAGUUAAAUUAGAUGAUAUUUUUUAAUUAUAUUUAAUUCAAUAAUAUGUAUUGAUCACUUUCUUAAAAUAAGUAAAAUGAUUGACCCACAUUUAUGCAUACAAUAACACAAUAAUUACUUUGAAUAUAAUAACUUAAGCCAAUAUAACAACUACCCCUCCUCCUUUAGCCACCCUAUGUCCCUACUUUCCUACGCCACCACUAAUCACCAUUGCAGGCGACCAUAUCUCUAACAACGACUCCUCUUUCUCUACAUAUUUGAUAUGUGCCCUCACAUGAUCUGCUCCUUCGCCUCUAUCACCCCUCACCAAAUGUGAUCAUCUACCUAUAUGGUAUAUCAUUCGGUAAAUUUGCCCCUCCGAGUAUUGAAUCCGUUAGUUCUAUUCUUUUUACAUUUUGAUUUUAAUUUGGAAAUUUAGCCUUUUAUUUUGAUUUAAUAUUUUUUUUAAUUGGAAACAAAAUAAUGUAUUUCACUUUUUUAUUUAUUAAUUUUGCUUUGAAUUUAUUUUUAAAUUUCUCCGGUAAAUGAAAAUUUGACAGGGUUUGGUGGAGAACGAUGGUAAACGGUGGUAUUGACGGAUAUGUUGAUGCCAAGAUUGAAGGGAAAAGUGAUGGAGUCGGCGGUGGAAUAUGGUGGUGGUGGUAGGCGAUGGAAAAAAAACAAAAAUUAAAAAAUGAAACUCGUUAUUUAUUUAGUAAUAAUAAAUAUUCUAAAAAGCAUAUAACAUAAAUAUAGAAAAAAAAAAAGAAAAAAAAAAAGAAGGCAAAAUAAAAUCAUUAUGGUUUUUUCUUUAUGAGUAUUUAAUGGACGUUUGCAGACGGUAACAACGGUAAAAGAGGGAAAAACAAAUAGAUAGUUAAUGGAUUUGUCAAACAUAAGGAGCAUUGUUGUAAACUUUUAAAAACUACAAUCAAACCCAAAAAAACGUCUACUACAAGGACUAAAAGCGUAGCUUGCUAUUUAUUACUAUUUGAAAAUUGACAACAUUACUCGCUUUAAAACCAGUGGUUUUGCCACCUGUUUUUUACGCCAUACAAAGUGGGAGGCUGUUUGACUGUUUCACUCUACUGUCUGUGUGCUUGCUUCUCUAUUUAUAUCCUACUUAUGGUUUUUCUGUUCAUUCAUCGAUCACUUGUGCAACAAACAUACUUUCGAUUCAAACAAAAAAUCUACUUCGUCUAAUUUUUAACCAUCUUCAAGAUUUAAUUAUGAGUUUCAGAAGCAGAGCAUGGAUGGUGGCCGGAACUGUCGGAGUUGUGGAAGCCCUCAAAGAUCAAGGCUUUGCACGAUGGAACACCACCAUCAGGACCAUCCACCACCACGCCAAGUCAAAUCUCCG
rnacentral:lncRNA from 1 species